ACCUGUUUACACAGAAAGUCAUUACUGCUAGAGACAUUGGGACGGGAUGUUUGCUCUUUGGUGCUUUGAUGGAUGAUGUUGGAAUUGAUUUACCAAGAGCACCGAAUAAUUUUGGUGAGAUUAUUGGGAAACUAAUUCUGGCCGGGGGAUUGGAUUUUAAAGUGGUGCAGGAGAUCCUCAAGAAGAUGGAAGAGGAGAUGUAUCGGAAAUCUGUACUUGAUGCAGCAUUGAGGAUAAUAAGCUGUAGUCCUGGGCAAAACAUAUUGGAUUCACAGGCAUCUGAUAUUGAGGCCUGCCAGAGUCUGCUGUAGCACACCUAAUAUAUAUAUCUCUUUGCAUGAGCGCGAGUGUCCACGUGGAUUUCCCGUGCUUGCUUCCAGGUCUUCAUAACCGACUGAGGCAAGCAACAUGUAUCAUGUGAUAAGGUGGAGCGGUCAAAAAGAAAACUGAAAAAAAUAGGUAAAUUUUAUUGAGUUGUAUAUCUUUUUGGAGGUCAGAGCUUUGUGUUUAUUGAGGAAAGAAAUCAGAACUAUAAAAUGCCAUGGAUUUUGUUCCUGAGUGCAGCUAAUCAUGUUGCCAAAUUGAUUGAGAAGACUGGCCCCUUUUAAGGGAUCCAGUUACUGUUUUGUAUUUGAGUAGUUUUUUUCCUUUUGUUAUUUUGUUUUUAAUUAUUUUUUAGUUUCUUGACUGAAGUAAUUUAGUUUAUUGUUAAACUGUUCACUUCAUAAAUCGCAAAAGUAGUUUGCCCUUCCAUGGUUACAUUGCUGAAAGACAACUGUCUUUGUUUGUCUCUUUGAUCCGAGAUGGGUUCUUCCAUUCUUUUUGUUUCUUUCCUGGCAAUUUCACUUGUGUUUGGAGUAUGGUUUGCAGUGAAUGGCCUAAAUUUUUGGUUGAAUGAGAAAGAGAAUGUGAAUAGAAUGUUGACAAGCAUAUUUGUUCUGAUUGUUUGCUUAUGAGACCCAGUGGAAAAUUUGUAUGCGUGCUUGUGCAAGUUCUGCUUGAGGCUUCUGCAAAUCUCACAUAAAUGCAGUUUUAAGAAUUGAGUUGGGUACAACGUUGUGUCUAAUUGACUUUUCUUUUUAGUCAUAUCUUUUGCUUUCUUACAUCAUUUAGUUGGAAGAGGAGAGCUACUCCUCCAUAGAUCUCGAAUCCAGUAUUGGGAUUGAAGUGGACCUUAGUGGUAAUCUCUUUAACUGGAGAAUCUUUGGGCUUCACAGAGAAUGAUUACGGCACAAUGUUGUAGUAGUAACGCGAGGGAGGGGCUUGGCUUCACUCUAUUAGAAAAGCCUCAAAGCGUUUUUGUUUUUUUUUUAAUUGUCAGUGGAUUGAUGUCUUAUGAUCUAUUGUUAUGUGAGAGGCAUCUAGCCGUUUUCAAAUCCGAAUCAAUCUAACACCAGCCGUUCGAAAAUGUUCUCACAAUUUUGCAGACUUGAAGUGACUUUUCUUAUUUGGUUUUUGUUUCUUUGCUUUCGUUUAUUCUGAAAGUGAAUCAUUCUUGUCCUGGGCCGCGUGCUUUUCUGCCGACCUGAUAAUCUGAGAAAAAUUGUAAGCAAGCGGAGAGAAAGGGACAGCACACUGAUAACUGCCCCAAUGUUCUUUUAGAAAACCUGUUACUUUCGUGCACCUAACCCGAUAUUACGACCAUGGUCGAUUCUUUCUUUUGAACACAAUUCACAAUCAAAUAUCACGACUCACGCUCACAUCGCAUGAGUCAUGACGCAGGAAAAGGUGAAAAGAAGAAAAAGAAAAAGUAAUAGAAAAAGACUGGUUUAAAGUGAAGUGGUAGUUGUUUCACUGUUUGAUAAUAUAUAUUUCUUGCACAGGGCUUUCAACUAAUGUAAUGAUGAAGAACACAAUUUUUGAAUAAGCUACAGCCAAAUUAAUAUUAACUAAAGCGCAGAAGAAGCGCGUAGAAAAGAAAAUAAAAUUAAAAAAAAGAAGAAGAAAAUAUAACUAAUUAGAUAAGGAAGAAACAAAAGAAAAGAAAGGAAGCAAGAUGGAAGUAGUUAUUAUUAUGAGCAGCUGGGUUAGGUGAUGAAGAGGAUCUGUGAUGACCAUUGCGAGUAACUGCAAAGCCGCCGCCACGUGUGCCGCCACGAGCACCCGCACCCCGGGCUCCCUUUUUGAUCUGAGUAGGCAACGACACGGGUUGAGCUGAAACGGUGAUGAGGUAGAUGAUGAUGAAGAUGACGAGUGAAAAGGCAAGCUCGUAACACCUCAAUCUCAUGCUGUUGCUGUUUCUUCUCCCCAUAUAUUGUUCGAUGUCUGUUUGUUCAGACUCCAGAACAAAACCUCUGGUUGCGGCUGGCUAUUGUCUUUUGUUGUGAUGACGUGAAUGUGUUAAUUGUUAACACAAACCUUUCAAACUUUGUGCCAACUUGUUUGAAAAAACCUUGUGAAGGCAAAAGAUAUUUCUGACACUAACUCACGGUGGUUGGCUUCCAUUAUGAAUGAUUACGUUUAAACUUUAAAGUGAUCUACUUUCUGCAUACGUUUAAAGUGAUCUACUUUUCUUUCUUUCUUUCUUUUUUUUUUCUUAAAAAUAAAUAUAUUAUAUUUCUAUUUUCUUCGCAUAGCCUUUCAUUCCUUUUAAGAUUUUUAACGUCUAUUAUUUUUAGAGUAGCGCUCGAGAGAGAGAGAGAAGCACUAGAGAAAGACGCUCUCUCUACCGGUUUCUUUAUUAUUUCUCUUAUUUUUUUAUCGUUCUUCUCUACACCAAAUAUUUUUUUUAUUUUUAAGGUGUAUUUGACACUCAUUUGACUUGACACUCCUUGAAAUGUUAAUUAUUAUUAAAUUUUAUUAAGUUGUAUAAUCUAUACUUUACAUCUACUCAAAAUUAGUAUGAUUCAGUUAUUACUUAUCAAAUAAUUUAAGACUCAAAAAUUAUUAUUUUUGGGUCAGCUGUUUUAUUGCACAUAUAAAUUCAUGCAUUUGUAACAUAGCUUAGAAGUAUAUGAAAAUAACUUGAAAAUAUGAGCCAAUUAAUUGAACGUGAGACCUCUACUCCCACACAUAAAAUUAAAGAGAUAUCUCAACUUCCACUAAUAUUUGAGAAUGUGACAGGAGAUUAAAUAUCGAUUUCAUGAAAUGUGCCUUCAAUAUUGGUUGACCGAAUGGAAAUGCAAUUUUAUAUCAGCAAAUAUACAUUCAUUUUCUAUUAUAGAUGAAAGUCGGACGGAAAUCAAUUUCUUCCACAAGACUUCUUAAAUGCAAUAUAGCCAAAAUUAAGCGCAUUACUGUAAAGAGUGUAAUCUUUCUUCCACGCUCUUUCCUGCAUCUUAAAUUACACAAUAAAUUUCUUGCACAGGGCCAGGCUUUUACUCAAAUAAUUAAGAUUGCUGGAUUUAUAAAAUAUAUAUACGCUGGAUUGUGAUGACCAUCACUGAAAAUGCGCGAAUGUUCGACGGCUCAUGAUAUAUCUCAUGCUCAUGCUGCCGCCCAUGGCUUUUUAAUUUGUUCAGAGGAAAAGAACCAAAAGAUUAGCAAGUGCCAACAGCAGCUAGCUGGCAAGCUUUUAAUUUUGUGUUAUUUAUUUAGUUAAAAGGCAAAGGAACUGCAAAAAGAUUUUUGUGAGCGAUAUAUAUAUGUUUAAACGAGAGGAGAUUUAAGUAGGUUGAAAGCGAUCAUCUUUCUUCGUAUUAUUUUGCAAAAUUCUAUUUCUAUUUUCAUCAACGCGUUCAUGGAUCCGUACGAAUCUUUAUUAAUUACACUUGAGCUUUAAGGAAAUAUUUGGCACUGAAUGGCAUGUGACUUGUGAGCCACAUAACUAGUACAUCACCAUCCAGUCGCAUGCAUGUAAGUUUAUUUAUUUUUAAGUAUGUUAUAUAGAGAUGUUACCAACAUUACAAUUAAUAUUAUAUUUUAAACCCUCUCAUAUUAAAGUGGUGUCUACUCCACUCAUGUUUUGUAAGGAAGAAAUUGUCUUUAACAUUUCGAAAGGGAGAGACUGUCUACACUCAAUUAUUAGGGAGUACUGAAAUUAACUCUUAUAAAACUCUUAUAGAGGUUCGAACCCCCAUACCUCCAUAAAAUUUUUAUGGAGGUUCGAACCUUUACAUUUAACAUUAUAAGUGUAAGACUUCUCCUAUUAAACCAAAAGUGCAUUGGUAUCCAUAUGCAUUUACUAAUACAAUGAAAACCAUCACAAACCUAAAAAUACAAUUGGGUUUGGGUUGGGGUGCGUUGAUCAUUACGCGCGCGGUCCAACUGAAAUUUGCGUUGAUCAAAACAUUUUAUACUUUCCUGAUUACGUUCCCAAAAUUCUCCCCGAAUAAUAUAUUUCGCAUAUUAAAGAUAAAAUUAAAAAUUUCUUAUUCACACGGUAAAUAAACAAACUGAUGAGGAGAACUGACAAAACGGUAAAAUUUGACUCCCGUUUUUGGCCGUGUCCAUUUAAUUUUACUCACGUGCAAAGCUAUUAAACUCACCCCCGUAAAAAGUAAAAACACACGGCUAGCUAACAGAACUUUACCAUUUUACCAACGAAAGCUUAUCUCGAACUUGGAACUUUGAUGGCAAAACCACGACGCUCCUGCAAAAUCAAAGAUGACGGAUGUAGGUAAAACGAGUAAAUGAGCCGAGGCCAAAAACGACAGCCAAAUUAUCGUUUUGUCAGCAACUUUGGUCAGCGGACUUCUCCUCUAUAAAUAACAGUAGAAUUCAUUCCAUACUCUCCCGCGUUCGUGUUUAACUAAGAUUCAAAAUUAUGGCCACCGGCCAACACCAAAACGCAAGCUCUUCUCCACAGAACGACGAAUCAAUUAAGCUCGCCGUCGCCAUUUCCCUUCUCCGAUCAAAGCUUCUCCACUGCCGAAAUCAAAACGCUGAUGAUCCAUCUUCUGAAUCGGACGCUCUCCGCUGGAAGCGAAAGGUCUUCCUCUUUAUUCCUUCUCGCGACUUCCCUUUUCGAUGUAAUUAAACAGUCUAUUUGAUACACGUCUGUUUCUUAUUCGAUUCCAGGCUAAAGACCGAAAGCAAGAGCUUCUCAGACUCAGAGAGGAUCUUCGAGAAGCUGAAGGUUCUUGAUUUAUUUAUAUUUCUCUUUAUACAUUUUUUUUCCUUUCCAUUGUUAAUUUUAGUUUUUGUUGUAGAUGCUUUGCAUUACGAUCUGCUUCCACAAAGUGCUUCUUGCAAGUGCUAUUUCUUUGAUAAUUUGGGGAAAUUGAGCCCUAGUGGAGCUGGUGACCGCUCUGAUUAUCGGUUCAACGACGUUCUUCGCCGUAGAUUCCUUAGACAAGGUCGACUUUGUCUUUAAUCGUUAUCAUGAUCAUGAUCAUCCUUAUUGCUGCUGUCGUUUAAUGUUUUGUCAAUUUUGCAGUGAGGCUUCAGGAAAGGAGAAGGAGAAGAACUAGUGAUUCGACUCAACGGCGACGUUUUACUGGUAAAAAUAAAAAUAUGGACUUGACUGGCAUAAUUAUGCCUCUGUUCUGAUUAAACGUUGACGUUUUCAGUUAUGAAAACAGAAGUUGCAUUUUGUUGCUACGUAUUAGAAACUCCUUAGCUUUAUAUGAGGAUUAAAUUUCGUUUUCUAAUAUCAGAUUAUGAUUUGGAAUCAAUAAAAUAGAAUCAAAAGCUUAUGGCCAUGCGUUAUCCAUGAUUUGGAAGAUAAUUUAAUGGUUUGGAUUAGAAAGGGCCUGAAUCCAUGUGGAGUGUUUAAAAGCAACGGUGUUGUUUAUUUGACUACAAACUUUUCUUAUGAAUAUAGACUUAAACAGUGAAGAUGAGGUGGAGCAGCUAAGGGCCUCGGUUGAUUUCCUCGUGGAUCUCUGUGACACCGUUUCUCCGGUGAGAGGGAAUUUAGUGACAUUUCUUAUGAGCUAAUUUAUGUCACUUUCGGAUUGUUUGUAAAUUUGUUUAGUGCCUUGUAUUUCUGCAGGCGGAAGAGGCUAAUUUUGCAAACUGGUCACAUCAAGCUGUGGACUUCAUUUUAGGUGAAAUGACACCUUGCAUUAUCAUAUGCCAGUCCUUUAGAAUGGUAUCAAUAGCAUAAAUUGGUUUCAUAACCUGUUAAAGUAGUGUUUUUCACGAGGCAAGAAAUUUUGGCUUUUAGAAGGACCUCUGAAUUUAUCUGUACAAAGUGGUUACCAAAUAUGUGUUCAAAAUGCAAUAAAUUUUAGCAUCUUUGAAGCGUAUUAUUUGCUUGUCCUUUCUGACUGCUUUAAAAGUUUUGAGUUUAGAUUUGGAGAGGAGCUUAUUCCUUCUCUCCUUUUAUCUUAUUGCACUUCAGUGAUGAAAUAGUUGUCUGCUAGUGUGAUGUGAAUUUAAUGUCAGGUCAGCUUUCUAUUUUAAUAAAACAUUGUCCACCUCUUUGGCUUGGCCGACAGAUUAUUUUAGCUAUUGGAAAAGUGGUAAUGGGGAACAUCUUAGAAGUAUUGUAUUUUGCCUUCUUCUUUCAUCGUUGAACCGCAACUAUCUUGGCAUCAAAUGUCGUCCAGUCUGUUCUGUCGAUUACUGGAAAAACACCUAAAGCCGAGUAUAUCUUCAGUAACAUAGAUUGCCUGCAUCUGCUGUUUAAAAACCAUUGAUUGGAACUUUUGUAUGAGUCCAUGUCAUAUUUGGAGCUUACCACCUUGAGGACAACUGUAGACCAUAUAAACUCUUAGGAGUACAACUAAGAUGUGAUAGGAUGACAUUUAUGCUAGGAACUUUAUAUGGACUGGUGAGAACACUCUGCAUGUUGCAUCCUAUGCCAACUGCAGACUUUGAUUGAUAAAGUUUAAAGGCAUUAGGGGUGGAAAUAAUGUAGGAAAAUGCACAGGUUGAGGCUGUACAUUGACACUGUGGCCUAUUGUUGGGUAACUAUCAGGCUUGUCUUUUAUGAUCUUAAUGGCAAAAAGAAAAAACGACAAAAUAGGUGGCCAGGAAAAAAUAAGAGAGAGAAUUUCAGAAUAAUUUGAUGUGAUUGACUGCAAUUUUUUAUGGUAAUGCUUCAAGUCUAUGCUCUAGUUUCUACCUUCAUGUCUGUAGUGUGGCACAUGUUAUGAAAAUUUUGUUCAUGUUACCAAAUGAAACUCUACUUUUCUUGUCAUUAAGUACUAAUGCUGUUUAUAAUCUGUCUUGAAGCAUCACUAAGGAAUCUAUUAUCAGCGGGAAAGAACAUGGAAUCCAUUGAAGGAACAAUACGGAGUUUAAUUAUGAGAUUGGUUAGAAGGAUGUGUUCCUCCUUGAAAGAUGAUGGUAUAUGUCUCUAGAUAAUGUUUUCAAAUGUUCUUCAUUUCCCCACUCAAAAGAAUGUUGUAAAAGGUUUUGGCAAUCUUUUUUCUUAUUACCUUUGGCAACAUUCCAUCAACAUAUAUUCCAUUUCUUUGCGCAAACUCUCUUUCUUGGUCUGAUUGAUUAGGCUCUUGUUGUUAGUAACUUGGUACUUUUUUUAUUUUUGUUUACAAGGAGAUGCCUCAGAGUCAGAUAACAUUGACAAUGAUUCCCAAUUCUGCAUUCAGCACAUGAUUCGCAAGCUAGCAUUUGAUCCUUAUAUUGGACACAGGGUCAUACUCUUAGUUUCUCAAAGAAUUUCAGUACUAGCUGAAAAAUUGCUGUUCUCUGAUCCAUUUGAUGAUGCUUUCCCCAAUAUGCACAGCUGCAUGUUUCUACUGUAAGAAUUUCAGUAACAAAUUUCCAUCCAUGACCGCUUCCAAUUUAGCAUCUUGAGCAUCUGAAGCACAUGCUGUUUUAGCACAUGAUCAAAUUGAUUUGGUGUAUUGACAGGAUGCAGCUUAUGGAGUUUGUGAUAUCAGAAUACUUAGUAACUUGGUCAAGAGCUGAAGCGUUUGACAGCUGUAUGUACCACAAUUAUGAUACUUUUUUUCUUGUUACCUGUUAUCGUUGCUGUGAAUCCCUGAAUCUGAGAUAUAUUUAGGCUCUGAAAUGACAUCUAAUAAAUGACAUUGCAGUACUUUUUGAAGAAUGGGUGAAAUCAGUCCUCCAAGCUCGAAAAGCAGCAGAGCUUUUGGAAAACAGGAACGGGCUUUAUGUGCUGUACAUGGAUCGAGUUACUGGAUUAUUGACCAAACAAGUCGGCCAGAUUUCAUCACUCCCAAAAUUCAACCGUGAUAUUCUUGAUAAACUGUUCCUUUAAUAUCAUCUUCUCAUCUUAUCUUUCUCAGCGACGAUUAUAUAUAUAUAUAUACCCAUAUGCCUGAAAAUAUUUCCUGGGUAAUGAAAUUCUUUGAGUCUCUUGGCACCAAUUUUUUGUCAUAAAAUUGCAUAUAAAUUUAAUAAAAUCCUCCUCGUUUCUUCCGGGAAAUUAAUUCAAAAUGGUCCAUUAUGAUGACUCAGGUUCAUAGAAGCUAAACUUAUAUGAAAGGAGAUAUUAUUAGAUUACGCGCAUUGUAGUUAAACGUUUACAGGUGUUGUAUAAAAUCCUGGAGGCCAGGGUCAAAGAUGCCGCGUGCCUUUGACUAUUGCGUUGGCUGUUAUGCAAAUUGUAAUCUGGCCAGGCGCUAAGUUACGUUUACGCCCUCUCACAGCAACAGUACCAGGCUCCACCAGUGACACUGUUGCUGUGAGAGGCCCUCCCAUCUGUAAUCUGACUUUCCUCAUUCCUUUGACGUGUCUUCUCCUUUUCUUGCCGCCAGAAGUUUUGACUUUUGUUUCAUCGUGGGAAUAAUCUCUUUUACUGCUGGAUUGACACGGUGAACACUACGAGAGCAAGUGCUCAAACCUUAUAAAAGUAAUUAUGAGGGUUUAAUAAUUAAAUGGACAAUCUUCUCUAUUACAAAAUAUUUGAAGUUUUGGAAGCUUGAAAAUGAUAAGACAAAUAUCUACUCUCAAAUAUUUAAAAAAUAAAUUUUCAAUAAAAAUAAAAACUAAACCCUACACAUACACACAUUUAAUAAUAAUAAAUAAAAAAAAGGUAGUUGAACAUUUCAUAAGGGAUUAGUAUUUUUUUUUUUAUCUGAGCUACAAAUAAAUUAUUUUGUAUUUAUUACUUCUAUUUUCAAAAUAAUUCUUCCAAAUCUAGUAAUGAAAAUUGACCUAAAAAGAGCUAAAUUUUGAUGACGAAUCCGACCAUCCCACUCCCUUUUAUUAACCAAAAUUUAUACAAAACAAAACUUUGUUGCCACCUUGCAUCCCUUUCGAUUAACAAAUCCACCGCCCAAGUGGUAGUCAUCAAAAUCUUGACCAUCGAAUCAUAUCAUAUAAACUAUACAUAUAUGGCAAAUGCUAAGUCAGCACAAAAAUCAAAGUAAUAAGAAAAGCAUAUAUAUCAGUUUUGACAGGUAGCUUUCGGCUUCGUUGCUGUUUCCACGUGACUAGCUACCCCUUCCCAAUUUUUCGUAUAAAUUUCUUUGUUUCGCUUCGGUAAUUUACCACGUUCAAGCAAUCAAGCUAUAUAUAUUGUAAUAAUUCUCCGAACUUGAAGUUGAUUAAAAUGGCCAAGAAUAGUCGUGCAUUCACCAUUUUGCUCGUUUCACUUGUUGUCAUCUCUCAAUCUCUUUCAAUUAGUUCAGAUCAUGCAAGUGGUUUGACUGUGAUUCAAGCUCAACACAGCCAGCAGCAGCUGCUAGAGGCCAGACAGUUACUCAAGUCAUCUGAUCAUCACGAUCAGGAUCAGCCUCCGGCAAUGCAUUGGAUCCAGGAGAGAAAGAUUCAUAGUUCGCCCUUUGAUCCCAGGGAUCUGAAAAAGCUGAGAACUUACAUGAAGAAAAGGGCUACGACUUCUGCUGGACGCGGUUACAUUGCUACUCGGGGUCGCCGCCAUAGGUCGGCAGCUAUACAAACUAGUCAUAUCUCUUCUUUCCAAGUUGCUGCUGUACUGGCCUACUCUCUUCUAAUUGGUUUCUUUGUCCUCUAGAUGGCUUAAUGUAAUGACCAUGUACUUAAUUAGUGCUCUUAGUUAUAUAUUUAGUUUAAUUAGCUAGAAUAUAUAUAAAUCAAUAAUGUUUAUGCUUGAGUCUUUGAUAAUCUUAAUUUAACAAUCGAGUCUGUAGUUUGUUCAUUUGUCUCGAUUAGGGGUGCGUUUGAGAUUGCAGUAUUGUAACUUUUAAGAUACAAUUAUUGUAAAAAAAAAUUGUAACUAUGAAAUAAAAGUUAAUAAUAUAUAAUAAAUAUAAAUUUUAAAUAAUAAUUUUGAUAAAAUUAUUAAAGAUAUAGUAGAUUUUCUAUUAUACAAGUGAAAAAUUAUAUCAACAUAAUUUUUGAGUUACAACAGUAAAAAUUUACCAAAUAUUUUAUUACUGUAUCUUUUAAAGUAUAAAUAUCCAACCUCAAUCCCGAACAAAUCAAACACACCCUAGGUCCAUCACUCACUCUUGUCUUUCUGUGGGAGUUUUUGUUCAUCCUCUUAAAUCCUAUGCGUUUGUACUAAAAAACUGUAAUAUAAAUGUCAAUUUGAAUUGGCGAGUGUUUCUAGCCAUACUUUAUUACGAUAUUGUAAUCAUGUGUAUGGUGGCUUGUAUGGUAGUACUUUUGCUUCGAUACUAUAAUAUGCUUGCUUAAAUAUUAAUAUACAAUAGACAUUCAAUAAUUGCGGAAAGAAAAUAAUUUUUUAUAUUAAUUAUGUGUGUGCAUGUGGGUAAGUCAAACCACGCGCGGUGAAACAGAGUUGAAGCUGCUGAUUCUUUUUAGAUGCCACAUUACGUCCACCCGUCGCUGUGCCAGUGCUUGAAGUGUUGAAUUGACAAUGACUGGGAGCAGGCUAAGUUAUAAAUUGUGCUUUAGCCAGCUCCCAGACAAAAGCAGCAUUUGCUCCCUUUUUUUCUCCAUAUGCAGGACAGCUGUGGUGCAUGUAUUGGGUGCUGUAUGUUACACAAAUCUGUAACACAGUAACCUCCCAAUGACUCAAAUACCACAAAACUAGAGACUAAUACAAUUAAUAAUAAAAAAGAUUCCACGAUAUAUCCCAUCAAAUUUGUUCUUUAAUGCUCAUCAAUAACUAUUUGUUAAGUGAGAAACUUUUGGAUAAGGAAUUACUUUAUUAAAUCAACAAGAGGUUUCUUGAAAAAAAAUCUUUUAUUAAAUAAUGUUUCUUGUUAGAGUUAUCAAUUUUAUGAUUUUUAACUUUCUUUCUUCCCGUAUGGAAGCGGAGUCAGUAAAUUUCGGUAUUUAAGUAGCUAAAAAUGUUGGAUUCUUGCUUGUAAUCAUUAAAUCAGACUCGAAAAAAGUGGGUGAUCUCUCUUGCAAUAGGAAAGGGAGGAAGUCAGAAAUCUUUUGGAUGAUAGAAGCAAUUCGAGCUAAAUUAAAGAGCUUGAAUGGAUCUAAAAUUCAGCAUGUUCCAAGGCCUUGCAAUGUUACUGUUCAUUCUUUAGCAAAAAUAGCCUUAAAUUAUGAUGCUCCUGCUUUAUGGCUGGAAACGUUUCCAGCUGAAAUCAUGGUGUUUUUCUGGAGUUGAUCAAUAGAAAGCUGUACUUUCGCAUAUAAAAAAAGAAAAAAAGAAAAAAAAUCUGAUGACCUUUUCUUGUCUUCGUCUCAAAAACUCUUGUUCCCAAAUAAGCUAGGCAGACAGAAACAUGAUGUUGAAUCAAAUGUGAGAAAUUCAGCCGGGCUUGUAAAAUAAGGAUAAGAAAACUUAUCUAUGUCUUAUCACAUGCAGUUCUGUCCGCAAUUUUUUUCUUUUUUCUUUUUGGGUUAGUUACAUAAAGCUACUUUUGUUAAAUGUUAAAAUCAAAUUUUAUGUUCCGUUGAAUAGUAUGUGCACAAGAUAUUACUUUUUUAAAAUAUUAUUUAAUAGAAAAGAAUUCAUGUUUAAUUUUUUUUCCUUUUUUGAAAUUAAAGGAUGGGAUUAUGUAAAUAUUCUGUUUCCACUCUAUUAAGGAUCGAAAAAUUAUUCUCCUAUAAUCUACCUUCUUUUUUGGAUAACGGAAAAAAUCUUAGAUACUCUAAAAAUAUAAAUAUGAAAAAAAAGGAGUCAUUGUAACAAUACAACAAGAAUCUGGAACAAAAACAUCUUAUCUUCUUGGGAAAUUUACACCAAUAGCCAUAAAAAUUUACGCGUUUUUCAUCUUAACCACCCAAAUAAACUUCUAUCAACAUUAGCUAUAAAAAAGCCUUUGAGACCAAAAUACCCCUUUUCUCCCCCAACAAUCUCUCUUUCUCUCAUCUCUCCCAAACCGAAGAACCUCCCAUCGUCGGCGGCCAUCGCUGGGCAACAGCAGUGAUCUUCCUGACAAGGCUUGGCCUCAACCUAGAGAUCGUGAUCCUUGGAUGCCUGCGGAAGGCACGAAGAUGAAGACCAGACCAUGGCCUGGACGCUGGCCCUUGUAUGGGGUGAUGGAGAAGGUGAAAGAUGUUUCAAAUGAUCUAACGGUUGAUGAGUUUGUAUGUUUUAACGGUUGAUGAGUUUGUAACGGUUGAUCGUGAUCCUUAAGCAUCUGGUACACAUUGCCUGAUCGGACAACUAUUUUUGGUGCCUGUCGCACCAAGCUUCAGAAAACAGGUCGGCUUGUAUCGCAUCCUCUUUUCUGUCAUUGCUGAACCCUUUUGAGAUCAUUUAGCGCAACUGCAACUCUGUAAACAUGCAUUUGUUACAACUCUGUAAACAUGCAUUUGUUAUUCCAGAUAUUUGUGCAUGUAAUCUCUGGAGUUUAUACAGCAACAGAAAUACAUGCAAUCAGUCACUGUACCACCACCGUUUCCCGAUUGCUUGUGGACAAUAAAAUAUAUACAUCCAACAAGAAUUCAUAUGCAACACAUGGAUGCCUUAAUUGAAUAAGGAGCUCCAUCCAAUCCAUCUUCCUGCUGUUCAACUUUUACUUCAUCAAUGUAUGUUGGUCUGAGAAAUCCUUCAGUAGCUUCCGUGGCAUUCUUGUCCAGCUCUUUUACUUCACCAUGAUCUUUUUAUCUUUUUAUCGGACACCGAUGAGGGAUGAAGCCGCCGCCAAGGAGGGCUGAUGUUGCCGCCGGUGAUGGGAGUUUCUUCGGUUUGGGAGAAAUUGGUGAAAGAGAGUGUUGGGGGAGAGAUGAGAGAGAGGAGUAUUUUGGUCUCAAAAUUUAUUUUAUGGCUAAUGUUGAUAGAAAUUUAUUUGGGUGGUUAAGAUGGAAAACGUGUAAAUUUUUAUGGCUAUUGGUGUAAAUUUCCCUAUCUUCGUAGUGAGAGUUAAAUUCGUUAAAAGUGGCCACACGAUAGACUUUACCACAUCAUAUUUUUUAAAAAAAAAAUUUGACAUUUGUUCUAUUGUGUAUUUGAUUACUGGAAAAUAUUGGAGUGGUGUCUAGAAAGAGUACUGUGCCUUUUAAAGGAAAUCCAAUAAAAAGAAUCUGUAAUCUACUUUCCAAGUCAUGGAGAAAAAGUAUACAAGUAAUUAUUUAUUCGUCAUUUAUUUCUAAAAGGCAGUGGACAAGUGAAAGAAAAAGGGAUUGGGUUAACUUAGAUUCCUUGAAAAAGGAUUAAUGAAUCUCUUUAAUUUCACUCUCUUUUUCCCCCCUCCUUCUAGCUAGCAUAUUAUUACUUGUUUUAUUUGUUUGUGAAAGGAAUUAGCCAAGUAAUAACACGCUAGCUAGCAUAAUAUUUAUUAUUCGCCGAAAGCACUUGCUUACUACUACCGCCAGGCAUAUAUCCCUCAAUUAUUUUAAUCUAAUUUAGUUUGAAUCUUCAGAAAAAUUCAAAUUACUCGACAUUACUGGAUAAUUUGUCUUUGGAUUCUUAUUCAAUGAGCAUCUUAUGACACUUGAUCAUGCUAAUGCUAUAAUUACCUUUAUCACUUAGACCAAAGAAAAUUUUCCUGUAAAUGAUUCUUGUUUCUUAGAGUUUCUUAACGAUUAAACCCUAUAAAUGAACUUGAAAGCCAACUUUUUAUUAUACUAGAUUGCAAAAGACUGAUCAUUCACAGAACUUAAGGUUGAAAUCCUAAAACACCACAGCAUCCGUAGACAGUUGAUUUGCCAAUCGUUAAUGAAGGUAAAAAAGGAACUGGUCAGCAUCAAAAGAGUAACACUUGUUUGUUUUUUAUUCAUCAUUUGUUGCAAUGCUCUCUCGUCUUCUUCUUCUGAAAGCACUUUGAUUUCAAAAGGUGGUGAUUAUAGGCCCUUGGCGAAUGAUAAGCAACUCAUCAAGAGUACAAAUCUUUUUCUACUUAUUUUUUUUAUUUUUUUGUUUUUGAGGAAAAAAAAAUCUUUUUUCUACUUAAAGAAGCUCGCACUUCACUAUCUUUUCUUUUUCUAAUUAUCGUUCGUUUGCUUUCUCUAUGCAGUUGGGUACGGCGACAAAAUCUUGAAAUCGUAUGAAGUUGUAAAAAAAUCAAGAGCAAUUAAGGGAUUAAGUGAAGUACUUAACUUAGAGCCUAAAGUUUCAAAAGGAAAGGAAGGCAUAGGCAUCAAUAAUCGAUCAAAGAAAGCAAAUAAAGGAGGAGUUUACGGUGGUGGUGAUCUUCUUCGGCCAAGAAGCAAGAAAGGUGGAUGUUCCUCCUUAAGAUUGAACUUAUCUUCUUCAUUGGCUUCUAAGACUCUGGCACUUGGGCUACUCUUUUUUGUUUUCUUUUGAAUGCUUAUAUUAUUAUAUAUGUAAUCGAUCAUUUUGUCUUGGGAUUGAGAUAGAUGUUUGAACAAAACAUUUAACAUUGAACAUGUUUUGUUGCCAUUAUAUUCCAUAUAUUUGUUUAUAGUUUUAAUAUUCCAUUUUCAAAUAAUUUUUUUUUUUUUUUUUUUUUGUCUAUUACAAACUUACUGAUCUUUAAAUUGUCAAAGAAGGGAGUUUAGAAUGAUGGAGGGGUUCAAUAAAAAUUAAACUUAUCCUUUUGAGGUUCGCCAACAGCUCCACUGAUCACAUAUGCAAGUAGCAGGCCCAUUUUCAAUAUUUCACUUUAAGCCAUUUAUUUAUUAGAUAAGGGAAAACAAGAUACGGAUAAAAUUAAUUAAAAAAAUAAACUGUUUUUGAAAGUGGGCCUGCUAUAUGAUGGUUACAAAGUUCAUGUUCACCAUUACUGGGGAGGUGAUGGCGGGAGAGAGUUCACGAUAAGAGACAGAGAGAAAAGCAAAUGAGAGAGAGAAAGGGAUAUAAAUUUAUGAAGAGAAAGAGAAAACGGGUGCAAACAUUUUAGGAAUUUAAUGAAUAAGAAAUUAGGAUUAUUUUUAGAAUUAAAAUAGGGGCAUAUGAACUCUUUAAUUUUUAAAUAAUUUUGAUGAGGCAGAAACAAGAAAAGGAAUUUCGAAAGGUAUUUGGAGGAUGUUAAAUGUAAUUAAACAAACGAAAAUGAUAUUUAUCCUGGGUCAAAUCUCAAAACUUAUGCAAAUGAAGCCAUUUCAUCUUUUUUUUUUUCUUUUGCUUUAAUUCUCCCUAAAACGACGCCAUUUCAGCUCGGUUAAGGCAAAAGUAACGGCAGCUCCAACUGCUUUCUCUUCAUCUUCUUUUCACAACCAUUUGCGAUCCACAACUGGCAGCCACCAUCACGCAUACUCAGCCAUCGUCACCACCAUCACGGCAAUAUCGCUUCACAAAACAAAAGAACAAAUUCUUUGCAUCAACGGCUUUCUCAUAAACUUGACAAAUACAAAGAGUUAAUGAAGAAAUUUUGGCCUACACGCGCGAUACAGGGCAUCUAGAGAUGUAAUUAAUAGCUAGUCCAACAAAUUGCACGAUAGCCAAAAUUAACAAUUGCACAUGAGUAUAUAAUUCACCAAUAAACCCAAAACAAAGUUUCAUACAAACAUGAAAAUAGAAAUGAAUGACUGAUUAAGAAUAUACAACUAACUACUUUCCCUGAUAUAUAUAUAUAUAUAUAUAUAUAUAUAUAGAUUUUGCCAAUUCAAGUAAAAUUCAUGUUUCGAGAAUAAGCUCUGCCAAAGAAGAGAGUACUUAGCUAAUGGGGUACAGUGAAAUUUAUCCUAUUAUUAAUACACCUGUAAUAAAAAAUUAGAAUUUAAAAUAAUUCAACACAGUAUUGCUUCCAAACUAUUGUCAAUGAUGUAUAUGUUUAGAAUAUUUAAUGUUCCUUCGACUCUUUCGAUCUGCACAUUUUUUUAAAAUUCUUAAAUUAGUUAAUUUGGGUAGGUAUGUUUAAUAAAAUAAUAAUUUGAAUAUGUGUAUUUACUGGUCUGAAUUUUAUUGAAAUUUCCGUCACAAAACCUUCAAUUAUAAUAAUCGCAAUUUAAGCUGUAACUGCUAUGUACAAACUGGAGAUAUCAUUCGAAGAUACGUGGGUGGCCAUAGAGGCAUGCUAUGCUGAGCCAGUGAGCCACUGUCCACUAGUACCAAGCUCACAAGUUAAACUUGGGAGUUGGGGGAUCUUUUUAUUUAUAUGUAUUUAUAAUAAAAAGUUAUUUUUACCUCCGUUAAUUUUUAGAUGGAUCCGGCUACGGUACCAUUGCUUUUGUCUUUUGUGCCAGCUUUGUUGUAAAUUUAUAUUGAACCUCUUUUACUCAUUUUAUUUAAAUUUUCCCCCAUAACUAUUAAAUUAAUUUCUAUCGCAUCCAUAUAAACAUUUUAAUUAGCACCUUAUACUAUUUAUUAUUUACAAAUUAUUAUUCUAUAUCGCACAUGAUCAAAAUACCCUCUCUCUUUAUCACAAUACCCACGAACUCGACCCGGAUUCCGUUUCCAUUUCCGGCCACUCCACCGGCUAAGGUUGGUACCGAUCGGAAGCUCAUGCGAUGCCGGUCAUCUCCAUGCCAUCUUUGUCAUAAAAAGAACCGGUUCGACUCAAACCCUCGAACCCGACCCGGAUUCUGUUUCCUUUUCCGGCCAAGGUUGGUACCGAUAGGAAGCUCGUGCAACUCCGGCCAUCUCCAUGCCAUCCUUAUCACCGAAAAGCGUUCGGAAAGCUGCCGAUCGAAAUCGUGAAAAGUCGCGAAAUCGUCACUUCAAUUCGCAGCGAUUUCACCGGUUUCCGGUGACGCCACCACUUGGGUUUUGUUCCCCACAAUUUCCUCUGUCCUUUCCGACCAACCACAGCCAUCGGAUGAGCUGAUUUGCCGUUGAUCGGCCGUUGAAGGAUUCACGGCUUUGGGAGAAAUUAACUUAAUAUUGUGAAUGAAAGUUUAAAUAAAAAUGAGUAAAAGGGGUUCUAUGAAAAUUUACAACAAUGCUGGCACAAAAGACAAAAGCAGGGGUAGAUACCGUAGCUCAGUCCUUUUUAGAUACAAUUAAUGUUUUUUUCUUAUUAACUUGUGGGUACAGCUAAUAUUCUUUUAAAUUUUAAUUUUAUAAAGAUCCGAACGAGAUUCUAUUCAUAAUAACGAAAUCGAUAUUUUGAAAAUUAUAAAUUAUCCUUAAAGGAACGGUGGAGAGAAUCCAUACUUCAUUUUCAUAUCUAAUUCUCACCCAGCAUUCAAGAGGAGAAAUUCUAAAGUAUCUUUAUUUUAUUUUACUUAUUAUAAUUGUAUUAAAAAAUUAUAAUACAACAAAGGUGUUCUGAAGUCUCUCCGUUUAAUAUAAUUUUUUAAAGAGAAUUUGUUUAAAUAGAGCUUUCAUUAGUUGAAUUUUUACAAGUAGAGAUUUCACAAAAAAAAAUUAUUUGUUUAAGUGUCAAUGAGAGUUUUUAUUAAAAAAUUUAAAAAAUAAUAAUAUGAAAUAAAUAAAAUAAUAUCAUCAAAUAAGUAAAAAAUAUUUUAAAUAGUUUAACAUUCUAAAUAGAUUUUUUAGUCUCUACCCCCAAAAAUUCAAAAAUUAAGUUUUUAUUAAUAGAGAUAAAAUAACUUUUUUAAUUUUUAAAAACUCUACUAAAAAAAUCAAACAACAAUAAAAAAAAUUAAAAAAAAAACUUACGAAGUUAAAUACAUACCUAUAGCCAUCACUAAAUCCACACCCAACAUAUUUGUCAUUUUUCAUACUCAUCACCCAUCACUAUUCUUUGAAUUUUUCUUCAUUUUUUCCUAAUAAAAACCCCUACCGAGUCCAAAAUUAUUUAGAAAUAUCAAAACUCCUGGUAAACCGGGGAAAAAAAAUUCAACACAAAAACUCAUGAGAUUCACCCAAAGGGAGAAAUGCCCCAUAUUCCAAACAACCCAAAUAAUUUUCAAAGCAUCAGAAGUGGAGCAUCAAAUCCCUAUUUUUUAUUAUUUACUUUCUCUUCACCAUAAGACUAUAGACAUUCUGCCGGUAGACAAUUCAGCGUGCUGGUAAUCGGCUGGAAAACCGCUACUCUCAUGUUUUGUUCUUGUCGCUAAGAACCCUUCACCCCAAUUAUCCAUUUCUAUCAUCAAAGUUUCUAACUUUACGCCCUUUCUUUCUAAAUCAAUUACUUGCAUAAAUUGAAUAUAUUUUUCUCUGGAUAGUCAAUUCAAUAGAUUCAACUAUGAGCAUCACUAACAUUAAUCUAAACAAAAAGGCAAAAUAAUAGCUUUUUUCCGAAAAAUUAAUGAUCUUAACCAAUCAAACUUUUUAUUUUAAAACUUUUUAUUUUAAAAAGAAAACAAGAGAAACCGUUUUCUUUCAUGAGUUUCUAAACUAAUUGCUUAUGCAUGAUUGACUGCAGGUGUUUGAGAAGAUCAUGAGUAUGAGGAUCCAAAUAAAGCAGUCAUGUUUCGUAAAGCCUGCAGAAGAUACACCAAAAAAAAGCUUAUGGAUUUCUGAUUUGGAUCUAUUGGUGGCACGGACUCACUUCCCAACAGUGUAUUUCUAUAAGCCAAACAACAACGACGUUUCUUCAAAUUUUUUCGAAGCUCAAGUGCUGAAAGAAGCCCUAAGCAAAGCUCUCGUAUUAUUUUACCAUGUGGCUGGAAGAUUGGGAAUCAAUGAAAAUGGUAGAAUUGAGAUACAAUGCUGUUAGGAAAUUGAAUUUCCUCCUAAGAUCACUCCAAGCAAUUUAUCAAGCAACAAAUUAAUAAGAAAAUUAAAUGGAGAAUACACCAAUCAAAUAACACAAGAUUUACAUGGAAAACUCUAAAUCCAGAGAAAAAACCACGGCCGUUGUCACAAGACAACCAGAGAAAAAUAUUUACUAUGUGGAAAAUUAUUACAACCACUCUCAGAAAUAAUUUUCUCUCACCCAAGCCCCAAAUACAUAAUCCUGAGAAAUACCCCUUAACAAAACAAACUCGUAAUACCCAUAUUGAGGAGCCAAAUGGUCCUUCAAUAUAACUACAUGCUUAAGAAUAUUUCUCUUUCUCAAUUUCUCACCAAAACUUGGAUUCCUUCUCUGGGAUUUUUUUAGAUGCCAAGCUCUCAAAUGAGAGCUUCCUUUUAUAGGCAAGAUUUUGCCUAAAAUCAAGCCAAUUUUUCAACAUUCAAUAGCCACCAUUUCAAUAGUUUUGACCACUUCCAAUUGCUUAUCAAACUUCUCGACUAUCUCCAAAUUGAAUUCAAAUGAUAUCUUCUAAAUUGACUUUUCAACUCUUUUUUUUUUUUUUUUUAAUCAAUUUUCAACAAAUGCAACGGUGAAGGAGUUUUAUUUGUAGAGGCUGAGACAGACUUUGCUAUUGAUGACUUCAAAGACUUCACUCCCCGCUUGGAGUUUCAGAAGCUCGUUCCAAAUCCAGCUGUUGACCACUCUAGUAACAUCUCUUCUCAUCCGCUACUUGUUUUACAGGUACUUCCAAAUACACCAUUUACUGGUAAAUAUACUUAUGUACUCCUUAUAAGUAUACGGUUAAUCUCUAUAUUUUUUUAAAAAAUUUCAAGACUGCUGUUAAAGGGAAAAAAAAAUUAAUUUAUCAACUGAACACUAAAGAUAAAAAAAAAUUAAACAAAAUAUGUUUGUUAUUAUUAUUUUUUUAGGGUUAAUUUGGUAAGUUAAUUUUUUUUAAUCAAUAGCCCCAUGAUAUUGAAAGGUAAUUAUUUUAAAAGCUAAAGAAAAAAAGGGUAAAGUGUAAUAAUAUAUUAUUAACAACAUAGGUGUUUUGUCAUAUUUUUUUUUAAAUAUUAAAAUUGAACAAGUACUACUCUAAAAUAUAUAGAGACUAAAUAACCAUUAUCCUAAGUACUAUUGGUUCUAACCUCUGGUGUUGACGAAGAGCUAAGACUUCUUAAAACAUCAGGCCAAAUUAACUUUAAAAUAUAGUCUUUGUUUAAGUAUUUUCAUUUAAUUUGUAGUUGAUAAUUAAUUUAGUUAGUAAAAUAUUUUGAAUUGAUACAAAAGAUCUGUGGCUUAAACUUCACCCAUAUGGGUUACAAGGAGAUUUCAAUUGCCAUACUUGUUUUGCUUGAAAUGUAAAAAUAUUUUCAUUUAAUUUUUAGUCUAAUCUACUCAUUUAUAGUGAUUUCGGUGAUGAAAAUGUAAUGUCUGACCUAAUUUUUGUAUUUUUAUUUAAAGCCAUGAGAGCAAAUAAAAUUGGUUUUGAUUUUAUUUCGUUUAAAAAAAUACAACGUUUAGCAUAUAAAAACUGGAUUUAGUAUUUCAAUAUUCGUUAAGGUAAAUACUUGUUUAGCUCUUAUAAAUUUAAUUAAAUGUCCGUUUUUUUCUAUGUUUAAGAAAAUACCGGAAUGCACCUAUCUGUUAAAUAUGUUAUACUUUUAUCCUUAUUUUUUUCUUUUAUAAUAAUACCCUUAUAACGAUAUUCUUGCAUAUAUUAAUAAAAUAAUAAUUUAUUAAAUUAAUAUUUAAAAGUAACAUAAAAAUUUAUACAUAUACUUUUAUUAUUAUUUUACUUUUAUGAAUAAUUUGGUAAAUUAAUUUUUAAUAAAUUAAUUAUUAAUAAGAUUGUUACAAGGGUAUUAAAUAUUAUAUUAAGUUGACUGAUAUUAAUUUAUUUUUAAAUAAUUAUUAGCACGGAUGUUGUAUAGGUACAAUAAACAUUGGUCUUCUCACACUGGUAUUUAUUAGAUAGCUUAGCAAUAAAUAAUUAUUGGUUAAGUUGUUAAUCAUUUUUAUAAAUAAAUUAAUUAACAUCUAGAAUAUUAUUGUAAAUAGUAUUUUUGUAAAAGAAAAGAUAAAGGUAAAGGUAAAAAUGUAACAUUUUUAAUUAUAAAUUUUUUUAAAAAAAUACUUAAAUUAAAAUAUAGAGAUUAAAUAAGGAUUUAUUUUAUUUACUGUAUACACAGGUAACACAUUUUAAGCGUGAGUGAACUGCUCUAGGGGUAGGCUUGCAUCAUACGUUGGCGGAUGGUGUCUCGGCACUCCAUUUUAUCAACACAUGGGCAAGUAUUGCGCGCGGCGACACCACUAUCACCCCACCGUUUUUUGAUCGGACCUUACUCAAAGCCCACAUCCCGCCUUCUCCCAAAUUCCAUCACAUUGAAUACGAUCCCCCUCCAUUCCUGAAAAAUCCUACCUCGCCUUCAGAAUUUGAGAACAUUUCCACAGCUACAUUUGAUAUCACACGCGAACAACUUAAUACUCUGAAGGUCAAAUCAAAGAAAGAUGAUGAAACAGCAAACUUCACCACAUAUGAGGCCCUGGCUGCACAUAUAUGGCGUUGCGUGUCCAAGGCACGUUUGUCUCCCAGAUGAUCAGCCAACCAAGUUAUAUAUAGCAACUGACGGACGAUUUAGAAUAAAUCCUAAACUUCCACUUGGGUACUUCGGCAAUGCACUUUUCACUGCUACACCAGUUGCCUUACCAGGUGAUCUCCAAUCAGAACCGUUACCGAGCACUGUGAAGAGAAUUCAGAAAGCUUUAAAACAAAUGACCGACGAGUAUUUAAAGUCAGCUCUUGACUACUGAGAAGUGCAGUCUGACUUAACAUCACUUGUUCGAGGAGCAAGCACUUUUCGAAGUCCAAAUCUCAAUAUCAACAAUUGGAGGCGGUUGCCUCUGUCUGAUGCAGACUUUGGAUGGGGCCGACCCAUAUUUAUGGGGCCAGCUGUUGUUGUGUAUGAAGGAACAAUUUAUAUGCUGGCGAGUUCAAACAAUGAUGGUGGCUUGUUACUGAUCGUCCGGUUGGAGGCUGAUCACAUGCAACUCUUCGAGAAGUUUCUUUACGAAUUGCAAUAAAAGGAUUUGGCUUUUACUUUGGUCUGAACUUCUUUUUAAAAAAAUCUACGUGAUUAAUCAGUAUGAAUUGAUGUUUUACGGUGCUUUUAAGGAAUUUAAUGCCAGUUGAUAAAAGAUCCACCAAAAGUGGGUUCGAAUAUGGUGCAAAGGGGCCACUAGGCCCUUGAAGUGGUUGGCCCGCUCCUCUCACAAAUGUAAGGAUAACGGUUCAAGCUCUCCACAAAAAUAUUGUGAGGACUAAAUAUUUAUAAUUUUUUUUUUUUACGAAAUGUAAGUGGAGUAUGAAUAUUUUUCGCAUGUGAGGAUUAUUUGUUUGGAUAUGUAUUUUAUAAAAUUUAAUGUGACUAUAUAAGUUUCAGUUAUAUAUAUCUAAUUGUAACUAUCAGUAUAAUGUCUGUUAUAAUAGUAGUUAUAAAUAUUUGUAUAGUGCAAUACAGUAAUUUAGUACGUAACCAGUAUUAAAAAAAAAUAUGGUGCAAAGGGUGAGUAACUUCAAUAAAUUGUCUAUAUAUGAGAGUAAUUUAAUUAUUGGACAUUUUAGUAAUGAAAUUUUUUAUGAAAAAAUUAUGAGAAGGUUCUGGAGAGUAUUCUAGCAACUUCAAAUACAUAUCCCACCCUUAACCUAACUAAUGCUGCAACAAUUUUUUUGGGGAAAAAGAGUUCAAGGCUAAUGUGACAUUUAUUGUUAAUGACAAUGUGAGGAAGUUGUUUAUUUCUUAUUUCUUAUUAGCGUACUGUAAAUAUAAAUUGGAAAUAAGUUGUAAAAAAUAAACAAAUAAAAUUUUAAAAAUAUUUUAAACAAAAAAAAAUUCAGACUUCGUAUAUUUAACAAACAUGUCAUAAUUGGUGUAGGAAGAAAAGCAUGUUGAACCGCUAAUAUAUGUUGAUCUCUUGUAAGAAAAUGACCAACAUUUUCUGAAUUGGUAAGUUUCACUAAUUGCAUUAACCCGGCUUAGGGAUGACAAUGGGGUGGAGUGGAGGUGGGGAGGCCUACCCCAUUCCCCACCCCCAUUAAAAUUUUUUGCUUCCAUUCCACAACCCAUUCCCCAAUAAAUUUAGUGGGGUGGGCAUGACAAAUCCCCAUGUGGGGAAUGAUUUUCUCAUCCUCACCUCAUUCCCCAUUUACCUAUUUUAUAGUAUGUAUAAAUAUAUGAUUUCAGUAAAUUAAAAAUUAGAAACUUAAAAUAAAAUCAUCAUCAUAUUAUAAAGUACUUAAAUUAUUUUAAGAAAACUCUAAAAGUUUGAAACAAUAACUUAAAAUGAUAUCAAAACUGAAAAAUAUUUAAAGAGAACAGCACCUUAAAAAGAAAAGAAAACAUAAUAAUGUUUUCGAGUUGAAAAAUGAUUAUAUUGUUAGGUUUUCUUUUAUUCAUAUCAUGUUUAUAUUACAUAAAAAUAAAAAAAAUUAUUAAUUGACAUUAUAGUUGAUAAAAUAAAACAAUAUUAAAUAAGAAUUAAAAACAUAUUUAUAUAUAAUGGGAAUUAGGGUCGGGGUGGAGUGGAGAGUACAAAAUCAAACUCUACCCCGUUAAUAAUUUGGGGAUUAUUUUUUCCCAACUCCCCACUCCAUUCCCCUCCAAAUUAUUCAAAAAUUUCCCUAUUUGGGGUGGGGCUCUAUGGGCUCCAAACUCAUAGAGUAUUUUGCCAUCCCUAACUCGGCCUCAUCUCUCAGCGAAUUGUAUUGUAAUCCAAAUAACAAAAAGAAAAAAACAGAGCAACAUUGAUGACCAAUUGAAUUGGGGCAUUUAAAGAGCAAAUCUCACUAAAUAUCGAGUUCAAUAUAUGUGUCAAUGUUUUUAAAGGGUUACGUUUGUCAUUUCAUAAAGGCUAUAGUAUUUUUCUAGUCGGAGAUUUAUAAUUUUAUUAAAGUUAGAGAUAAAUUAAAAGAUAAAAAAACAGUGCAUUAGAGUCGAUUUUUUUUCUUUUAUCUUAUCCCUGAUUAGAAAAUUAUAUAUAAUCCUUAUUUAGUGUAAAUGUUCUCUUUUUUUUUUUAAUGCGAAUAAAUUAUUAAAUCAUAUAUUUUAAUAGAGUCAAUAUAAGUACCCUAUUAAACCAUGUGAGUUAAUAGUGUGUUUAUAUUUAAAAUUAUAAGAGUGUCCGCAUAUGAGAAUAAUUAUAUAAAUUUUGUUAAAUUGCAAUCAAUAUAACUUACAACCAAUGCAAAAUAUGGAAAAAAAUUAUAAGAUAGUGGUGGAGCCAUUGCCAUAUCAUAAGGAUGAUAGUAACUUAACAACACCCUAAUUAUACAGACAAAUGUAUAAACCUAGGGGUAGUUUCGUCAUUGUAGUGAAAGGAGUGCUUUGGUCAUUGCCAAAGUUCAAUCAGGCACUAUGCAUGCUCUUUUGCUGGAAAACAGAAAAAGUUCAAAUCUGUGGACGAGAAUCUUUACGAAUAUUUAUCACUUAGUCAUUGACUGCGGUGGAAAAGAAUCAUUAAAUUUUGUACAGAGGUGGUUGGUGUCUUGUGUGAAUUUGAUUCACGACACGGAUUGCAAGGUAGGUAUCUUGUGUGAAUGUGAUUCAUGAAACGUGUUCGUCAAAUCUGUGGACGAGAAUCUUUACGAAUAUUUUAUCACUUAGUCAUUGAUUGCGGUGGAAAAGAAUCAUUAAAUUUAGGACAAGGUCGGUAUCUUGUGUGAAUGUGAUUCAUGAAACGUGUUCGUCUGAUCAUUUUCUCACCGUUUUUUAAUUUGCUUUACGGUUUAGAUCUUCUUUUAGAAAUAUGAGUAAAGAUAUUCUAAUUGAAAAAAAAAAAGGAGAAAAAAAGAUCCGGAAGAUCUGCAUGAUUUAAAGAUGCAGACAUGUUCCAAUCACGUGUCCUUUUCAGGAUUUAAAACUUUUACAACUGUCUAUCUAUCACGUGGUCAUAGAUUGUGGUGGAGAAGGAACAUAAAUCUAGCGUAAGUUGCAUGGAACUUGUUUCGUCCAUUCAUUUGUUGCGGUCUUCUAAACGUCUUUAAAGUUCAGAUCUGAAUUAUUUAAGUCCUAAGGACGUACGUGUGUUGGCCAUCCAUUUUCCAAUCUCCUAUCCUUUUCACUUUUUCAGGAUUGCAACUUGUGCCGGGAGCUUGUUACGGUACAUUCGCUGUUAGGUACACAGUCACAUGCGCAGGAGAGAGAAAUUACUUUCCAAAAUGCACCCUUGGAGGGGAUGGCUGAGGUGCAGCUGUUAGGUACAGCGUCUGUAUUUAAAUAAAAAAUAGUGUAAAGAAUAUAUUAAAAUUUUGUAAUAAUUGAAUAAAUAUAAAAUAAAAAAAAAUAUGGUGCAAUAAUAAUUUUUUUAUUUAUAUUAUAUGAUGUUAAAUAUUUAAAUAGUGUCAAAUUUCGUUCACUCUACUUUUAACAAUUGGGCAAUUAACUAUUUUAACAAAAAUAAUUUUGUUGGUCCAAGAACUUUCCAAUGGUAAAUUAUAAUUGUAAUUUAAAGACAAAAACGAAAAAGUCGAGGACGAUGUGUCACAUCAGUAGUGACAGGCUUAAUGAUCAAAACCGUAAGUUAUGUGAAGUCAUCGGAAUGGGCCCAAGUCAUGCAACAUCAAGCCAUCAUUACAGAUCACACGUAUCAACCUCGGCUCCGGCCUUGAUGCAUUAGUCCAUGGUCCUGCUAUGUUACAACUGUACUUUCAGCCAUUGAAUCCAAUCAAUGUAAUUGUGCGACUAUAGAUUCAGUACUACAGUUGCAACAUAAUUUUACCCUAAAUACAGAGCAGUUUUGCUAGAUGCUCAUUAUUAUAAUUAUUUUAUAUUCAACCACAUACAUUUAGUGCCUGUUUGGUAUGGCUUAUUUAAGAGCCAUAAGUGCUUAUUUAAUCGCAUAAGCACUUUUUAAAAAUUUUUAUGGUGUUUGGUUAUUUUUUAAGUAGAGUUUUUUUAGCUUAAAUAAGCUAAUUUACCUCUACUAGCAAAAGCCCAAAAUUUGAGCUUUUGGAAGUAGAGGUUAGAGAGCUUUUCCAAAAAAUAUAGAAUAUAAAAAAUAUCACACAUUUUAAUGGUUUAAAAGUGCUUUUUUUAUUGACAACCAAACACCCAAUGACUUUUUAUCCAAAAGCUCUAUUGGUAUAAGCACUACUGAUAUAAGCUCUACUGUUAUAAGCUCUAUUUAAUAAGCUGUACCAAACGGAGCCUUAAUAGUUUUGGAGGCUGCUCUAUAGUGAAAUUACUCCAACAUAGCAGCUACCUUAAUUAUGAUGUUCAUUAUAUAUUUUGGUGGUUCUUGAUAGUUUAAUGAGUGUUUACUUAUGGAGAAUAAGAAUGAUUGAUAUAUUUACUUGUUUAAACAAGUAGUGGAAUGAGAAUAAAAGUGGUAAGUCCCACCUACAACUGAGAAUAAUUAUUAUAAUUUUCAUUCUCAUGAGAGAGGUGUGAAUGAGAUACUCAUUUUCUUAAAAUGAUCAUAUUAUUUCCACUUAAAUCUUAAAAUUUUAAAUUUAUCCUUUCUUAUAUUAUUAUUAUUAUUAUUAUUAUUAUGAAAAAUUAUUGUUGAUGAUAAUAAUAAUUACUAUUAUUAAUGUCGUAAUAAUAAUAAUAAUAAUCAUAAUAACAACAACAACAAUAAUAAUUGUUAUUGUUGUUAUUAUUAGGAGUAAUUAUAAGUAUUAAUUAUAAUAAUAAUAACAAUAAGAAUAACAAUUACUAUUAUUAAAAUAAGGAUUAUAAACAACAACAACAACAACAACAAUGAUGAUGAUGAUAAUAAUAAUAAUAAUAAUUGACAAUAAUAAACUAAUGUCAGUUUAGUAAUUUGUAACUAAUCAUUCUGAUUUCAAGAUAAAGUAGACACAUCAAUAACAAUACAAUUUAUUCCAAUUUCGAUUCUCAUAGCUAAAGUACAUAAUUUGUUUUGAUUCACAUUUCUCAUUCCGAUUAUAGUCUAUUCUAAUUACUGAUUAGUAAACUCACCAUAAAUUUUGCUGUUAAUAAUUAAAAAUAAAAAUCAGUUCAAUGCAUAAGUGGCAUAUCACCCGCGACUAAUGUGUAGUAAUACAUGAGGCCGAAAAUUAUAAAAAGUUGAGCGCUUAACGUUAGAUUGAAAUCUAAAUAAAUUAUACCUAACUUAAAAUUAAUAAAAAAAUCAACUCACAUUGAAUUUAAAUCCAAUUAAAUUACAUUAAAAAUAUUAAUUAUAUAUUAUCAUAUAGCAAACGGUCGUAACCUGUUGCCAAGCGGGUAACCCAGCUUUUUGUCCGUUCGUGAAAUAGCCAUUAGAUUAAAUUGAGCCUACAAUGAAGAGGCGCAAUAUAAGCAAUUGACAAGCAGGACAUGUAAUUCGCAAAUCAGCUUUAGUUAAACAAUUAAAUCGGUUAUAGCAGGGUAACAACUUUUUUUUUUUAAAAGAAAGGAUGCCUUUCAUUACUCAUUACAAGAGCAAAUACACAACAUCCUCUGAAAAUUCAUCUAGCCAUACAAAAGAAUCUACCUUCCUAGAGGUUAAUUUAGCUAAGGAGUGAGCUAAUGUAUUACAAUUCCAGAGAACAUGUUGAGCUUUGAAAUUCUGAAAAGGAAUGUUCCUCUUUUAUAAGCUAUUAACUUAAAUAAGCAUUUAGAUUAGUCGAGAAUAUGACCCAAAUGGACUUCAGGUUUUUUCCUAGGUGGCUGCCAUCAUGGCAUCAUUUGCUAUGGAAGCCACCUAGAAAUUUUCCAGAGUCUGCUUAGGAUCUUUUAAAUUCUCUUUUAUAGGUAAUCUUAAAAUUUCCGUUCCUCAUCACUAUUAGUUCUUAUGUGCAUUUUUGAGUUUAUUCUAAGUGGAUUCUGACCCUCUUUUUUGGUGGCCAAUUUGCCACUCUGCCUAUUUUUUAGCUUUCCUGCGCAGACAAUUUUGCCUUUAAUUUUUAGUUUUCCAUAGUUUCUACUUCCUUCCGAAAUUAGCAUAUAACAUUAUGAAAUUUGAAAAUAACUGAAAAGUAAAUGAGGAAAUGUAAAAAUUAGAUGCAUAAAGAUAAUCGUUAGUUGUAUAUCAUGUUAAUCCAUGUUGGCAUAAUACUCAUUUAUUUAUGUCCCAUCAAGAGGCGAAUGUUUGGGUUUUCCUAAGCCUUAUACGUGUGUAAGUCAAGUAAAGUCAGGUAUGACAUAAGAAAAUGGAAAACAAACAAUGUUAGUAUCUUACGUGUGGAAUCACAAUUGUUAGAUUAGAACAUAGAGUUAUGUUGAUCCACGUCGACAUAAUACCCUUCAUACAUCUCUCUGGAUAAGGUGAAUACUUGGAUUUUCCUUAGCCUUACUCGUGGAAAAAUAAAGGAGUAUCACGGAAUAAAUAAAAUGGUAGCAAUGUAAAUAAGUCAACACAGCUGCUAGGAAUGAGCGUAAUAAAAAGGAAAAUGAAGAAAACAUAAAAUAAAUAAUAAAUUAGUCUUAGGUUUGACCGUGGAGAUUGUUUUAAACCCUUUCGACUAUUGUUGAUUUUUUUAUUUUUGGUCAAAGUUUUAUGUUGACCAAAUGAAUCCUUCAUCUUCUUUAUUCGUUCUCUUUUUUUUUUUUCCAGCAAGACAUUUGAAGGAGAAACCUCCAUUUUUACUUUUGGAUUUUUGGUUUUUUGCCUUUUUAAGCAUGUUUGAGGUUGGGGUCUCAUACUUGAAAAAGACACUCCGCGCCCAAGUUUGUAUUUGAUCACGAUUAAACAAAGAAAAAAAAUAGAGAAAAUGAGUUUUCUCUCUCUAAGUAUGAACAAUGAUUUUGGAGGCCAAAGACCUCUUUUUUCUUAGAGAUGGAUCUUCAUUUAUAGAUGAUGAGUGAUGUGGAUUUAUGAUUUUGCUUUGAACCAUCAAUCUAAUGACAUGUGUCACACAUCAUUCUCAUACACGUGGAGGUGAAUAUUAUCUAGGGAAUUAUUUUGGCCUUGUGUGUUUCCUUACUCGUAUAAUCUUUGGACAUGAUUUCCUUAGACUAAUAGAUUGCGGAACUAAUUUCCCCCUUUUUCUAUUUUUAUAAGUUUCGAAAGAAUUUUUCCUUAGGUGUUAUUUUUCCGGAAUAAUUUGAGUGUUAUUUACCCCGAAAUAACUUGGGUGUUAUUUACCCGCAAUAUUUUCUACUAUCUGAUAAGAUGACAUAUGGCACCUACAUCUCUAAUUAGAAAACGAAAAAUUUUCACAGUUCUUUAUUUUCUUUUAGAAAAAUCCUUGUAUUCUUGGUAUUCCUUCAAAUUAAAGUUAAAAUGAUAGAUGAAAGGCGGAGAAUGGAAGGCAAAAGACAAAGAAAAAUUUAGUCAUAAUGUGUUAAAACGACAAAUAUGCUAUUGAGAACAAAUCUACUCAAAUUCCUAAUUGGCCAGGGCUGCUGCCCUCCAACUUGGAGGGCAGCAGUUCGAACCCCCACAAAAGCAUUGUGGGGGUAUUUCCUUCUUCAAUUAAUUUGAGUGAAGGUAGUCUUCUCCCUUACCCAUGAGUGAGGAGUAGACAUUCCUCGAAUAUUUGUGAGGGUUAAAAUCUGGGCAGAGCUCCAUUAGUAUUGAUGUCAGUUGGUCCCAAUAAUAGUCUGAUUUGUAAAUAUCAAUAAUAGUCUCAUGUAUAUGAGUUGUAAUCUGAGCAAUAGUCUCAUGUAAUCAAAAAAAAAAAAAAAAAAAAAAUCGUGAGCCAACUUUGAGUGUUCUAAUCCUAUAUACAAACUAGCAGGAUAAAUAAAAAUAUAUAUUUAUAAGGUUGUUUCAGAGCCAUGGAAAUGAUGGAGGUCACAUCGUUAUUUGCUUACACAUAUCAAUUGGUGUAAGAGUAGUACUUGAUAAAAUAUCUCGGGACGGACUCUUAUUUUCUUUCUUAAACAAGCAAGUAAAUAUGGAAGUGUGAGAACUCCGAACUCACUUCCUACUUCCACUGUAAACACCACAUAAGUGUUAUUUCAUCUUUCGUAAUUUCUUAUUUCUGGUACUUAAUUCACUUUUCUCUAUUUAUUAGGUCUGGAUCCGCAAUAUCCGCACCCGGCCCGUUUUCGCAUGAUAUUGUGCAUUAUUAAAUUUAAAAAAAGUCGGAUGCAGAUCAGCAUCUGAUAUUUGCCACGUAUUUAGAUCCAUAUUCUAAUUAUUUUGAGAAAACAAGAAAAAAACUAAAACAGACGAGAGAGUCCGUAUGUCCAUUAUUAAAUUUAAAAAACGUCGGAUGCAGAUCAGCAUCUGAUUUUUGCAACGGAUUCGGAUCCACUUUUUAAUUAUUAAAAAAAAAAGGAAAAGACAAAAACAGACCUGGGAGUUAGAAGCCUAUACGUUUUUAUAACCCUUUUUUUUUUUAAUUUCAAAGAAAUCCCUAAACGCAACCCGCAGACACAACACACGAAAGCGCCACAACAGAGAAGAUUAACCGCCGUCUGUCGCUGCCGUUCUAAUCAGCCAAGUCGCCACGGCUAGCACAAUGGAAAUUCAUGUACAGAAGUCAACAAUGAUACGGCCUGCCCAAGAAACGCCCAAGCAACGCCUACGAAAUUCUGUCUUGGACUUGAUUGCGCCAUCCAAUUACGUCCCCCUGGUAUUCUUUUAUCGACGGCCAAAUUAUUCUUCCCCUAAUUUCUUUGAUGCUGGUUUGCUGAAGGAGGCUCUGAAAAAGAUUCUUGUGCCGUUUCACCCCGUGGCUGGAAGGUUGCCCAGUGACGAAAGUGGUAGAACCGAAAUACUAUGUAACGGAGAGGGGGUUUUGUUUGUGGAGGCGGAAACAAGUUGCGUUAUUGAUGAUUUUGGUGACUUCGCGGAAGGCUCUAAGCUUUUGCCGUUGCUUCCAACUUUUGAUGACACGAAAGAUAAUUCUUCUUAUCCACUCAUGAUGACGCAGGUACGACGAAUAUUUAAUCCCCUGAUCAAUUGAUUCAUGAGACUUGGUUUUAUUAAGUAAUGCUGUGCUGUGUGUGUUGAGUAGGUAACUCGUUUCAAAUGCGGAGGCGUUUGUCUUGCGACUAGAUUUCAUCAUAUUUUAGCAGAUGGAGCUUCAACGUACCAUUUCGUCAACUCAUGGGCUGAGAUGACACGUAGUGUUCCUAUUAGCAUUCUACCUUUCUUUGAUCGAACCGUACUAGAUUUUGGGGUUCCAAAUUCUCCUAGAUUCCAUCACAUUGAAUACGACCCACCUCCUUCAAUGAAUACUCCUACUCAAAAUUCCGAAUCCAUUUGUACCGCAAUCCUGAAUCUGUCACUUGAGCAAAUCAAGAUUCUCAAGGAAAAAUCUAAAGAAAAUCGUGGAUCCACAUUCGAGUACACUAGACUUGAGGUCCUGGCAGCACAUAUUUGGCGAUGCGUAUGUAAAGCACGUGAAUUGUCUGAUGAUCAAGCCAGCAAGUUACACUUUCCUACAAAUGGACGUUCUAAAUUGAAUCCUCCACUCCCAUCCGGGUAUUUCGGAAAUGUAGUCUUCACCACUGCAUUGAUCGCCUUAUCAGGUAAUAUCCUAUCAGAACCCCUGAAUUAUACAGUAGAGCGAAUCCAUAGAGCAUUAGAGCGGAUGAAUGACGAGUAUUUGAAAUCAGCUCUUGCUUAUCUACGUCAACAACCUGAUCCCACAGUUCUAAGAAGAGGAGCUCACACGUAUAAGUGCCCUAAUUUUAAUAUAGUAUAUUUAGCAAACAUGCCUAUUUAUGAUGCAAAUUUCGGGUGGGGGCCGCCAAUGUUUUCAAGGUUGGUUAAUACAUAUUUCGAAGGGGUAGCGCAUAUUUAUCCAAGUCCAAGCAAUGAUGGGAGCUUGACAGUGUUUAUAAACUUGGAAACCCAUCACGUGCAGCCCUUCAAGAAGUUGUUUUAUGAGAUCUUUCAGCACCCCAAGAAUGCAAGAUCUAGAUAUUGAUAUGUCAGUGAUCAAUCAAUGUGAUAAACCAAGUCUGAGAGAAAAUGAUCAAGGGAUCCCUGGUUCGGGUGACUCAACUAGCUGUUGAUGGCUGUAGAUAUUGUGUGUCUUCGGCUCAUUAUGGUUUUGACCUUCCACUUUUGUCAUCCUUGAUAAAAGUUUUUUUCUUUUUUAAUUUCAUAUUUUGUUAGCUCUUUAAUUAGUAAUAUAUUAUUAGUCAUGUACACAGAAUGAGAUUGUUUUCUUCUUUAAUAUAAUAGCUCACUACGCGAUACCAUUACCAAAAGUUCCUAUAACAACUCGAUCUUCCAGCUACCAUACCCUCAAGAACUUUAGAGUAUGUUGGGAAUAGUCAACUAGCCAAACAAAAACGCUAAAGUCCCUUGCAUUAUAAUUCAGAUGUUAUUAAGAGAUUUUUUUUUUUUUUAAUUUUCAUGACAUCUUUGAUAUAUUUUAGAAUUUCUCCCAUAUGAAAUUUUAAUUUUUUUUUAAAACAAUUGUUAGAUUCGUUGAAUAGGCAUUGUGUUUAACACUUAUUUAAAAAAAAUCCAAAUAUUAUUCUCGGUAAUGAAAAUGUGACACAUUUACAAACCCAACAACUUUGGAAAAUCAAAAUGAAGUAACGAGUAGAUAGAUAAACAGUAUCAAAGCCGAAGGACCAAAGAAGGAACCUAGCCACUUUACAAAAUGAAAAAAUGAAACUACCUGGAGUCGUAUCAUUAAGCCAAAUAUGCGACAUUAUGCAAUGAUAUUUUAGCCCCUCACAUAGUUACACAAUGGGGCGAGGUACACCAUAAACUUUCUCUAUUAGAAACACCAUAAACUUACAAACAGAAAAAAAAAAAAAAGUUGAUGGUGGAAGAGAGUUCACGACAAAAGAGAAAUAGAGAGAAGUAAGCAAAUGAGAGAGAGAAAGAGAUAUAAACUUAUCAAGAGAAAGAGAAGAUAGGUGCAAACAUUUUAGGUAUUUAUUGAAUAAGAAAUUAGGACUAUUUUUAGAAUUAAAAUAGGGGUAUAAGAACAUUUUAAUUUUUAAAUAAUUUUAAUGGGGCAGAAAGAAGAAAAGGAAUUUCAAGAGGUAUUUGGAGGGCGUCAAUAAUCCAAUUAACGUGAUUAACUAAAAUGGCCCACUUUCAUUAUUUCAUCACCAAUAUCUAAAAAAAAAAAAAUUACAACAGAAUUUAUUGUUCUUAAUUAGAGAUGGCUAAUGGGCCACGCGACAUAUGGCAUGGCACAUGCACGGUAUAUGUCGGUACAACAUAUCACGAUAUGAACACAUUUUGAUAGGACACGCAACACAACAUGACACACAUGCAUGCUGGGCUGAGUUAAAAAUUUUAAGCAUGUGAACCUUAAAAGUACGACAUAAUUAAAGACGUACUAAAACAAGACAUGUAAAAAAAUUCGCAAUAAGCACGUUUCACUAGUUGAUUAGCACGUGGCCUAUGGGUCAUCAAUUGCAUGCAAGUCAAAGUAUAAAGUAAAACUUUUUUAAUGAAAAUAAAUUUAAAAUUCUAUGGUUUUACAUAUAACUUGAAAUUGAAUCUUUUAUAUAUUUUAUUAGCUUAAGUUUUUUAAAUUCAAUUAAAUCUUAGUUUAAAAAAAUAUUUUGAUUGUUUUAUAUUUAUAAUUUAAUAAAUGAAUAGAUGAUAUCAUGAUUUUAAUAAAUAAAGUUAUAAAUACCAUGGUUUUAUAAAUGUAUGCAUUGAUACUAUUAUAGACUAUGACCUAUGACUGAAUGUAAGAUCAAGUUAAAAAUUAAGUUAAACUUUAAGAAUUUUUUUUUAUUAUUGUUGUUAUUGUUGUUAAAUAUUAAAAAAAGAAUUAUAAUACCAUAGGGUCUAAUUUAGCUAUUAGUAUUACAUUCUCUUAUUAUUUUUAGUUUAUUAUUAUUGAAUAUGAACUUGAGUUUUAAACUUUUUAUUCUAUAAAUUUGAAUAAGGACAUGUGGACCCAAAAAAAUACAUAGUUUUGAAAUAAGUACGUUAAUAGCUUAGCAUGUUUUCUUAAAAAAAAUAAUAAAAGAAAAAGCUUAUCGUGUUUUUUUUUAGGGCAAAACCCAUGAUAUAGCUCGGCAGGGCACAGAUGGGCUCAGUACAUGUGUUUGGUUGGGCCUAAGUAAAAAAAAAAAAAAGUACCGCAUGACACGGCACAAGCACAAACUUACAUGGACCUUCUUUUAACGACUGGUACGAUCCAUUGGCCAUCUCUAUUCUUAAUCCCUUCUGACUUCAAAAUUAAAAUUCCACGGAAGAAUGAUUGGAAAAAGGACGUCAAAGAUGGUGCAAUUAAAUUUCGUUGCUCCACUUAGUUGAUGAUAUGCUAAAUGUUUAUCAGUUUUGACAGUAAAUUUGGCGAUUUUCAGUGGAAUUUUGACGAUCUUUUUACAAUAUUAUGAUUAAUAAUUAUUAGAUAAGAAAUGUAAAACAUUUAACUUUAUCGGGGCCAAAGUAAAACAUUCUCAAUAUAUUAGGCUCAAAGUAUAAAUAUAGCUUAUAUAAAUAUAUCUUUAUUUUUGGGCCUACAGUCCAUAGAGUAGAAAUAUGAAUUUCAACACAUUAGUCGAUUACUAUCCCCCUUGGUUUAAUUUCAUACACAUUAUCCCAACCAUUAGAUUUAUAUCGUCUAAUCCAACGAGCCAGAACAGCUUUACUAUUAGUUACAAAAUCUGUAACAUAGUCGGGUCCAUUUUUAAUAUGACUUAUGAUACCAUAGCUACAAGGUGGUUGGGCCAGAAAUAACGGAUGAUAAUAAGUACACGUGUUGAAUCUCUCAUUUAACGUCAUCGAUCGACAAAUUGUUCAAUCUCUUAUUUUAAGUUCAUCAACAAAUUGUUCUGGUAGUUACCAUUUCUCAUAGCUUUGUAAGCUUGAAUAUGACCGGUAUGUUCUUUACUUCUUUAUUUUCCUGUUUUUAUCUGUUAAAACCAUGUUCAUACCUUUCUUAAGGUUUGCUCAAUUGAUAUGGAUAGAUAAUUAAAGUAAUUAAUCAGUAAAGUUCUUGGGCUAAAUAUGGAUAACCUGGGUUCCAAGCUCACUAUUAUUAAAAAUUGAAUUAAAAGAAAAAAAAAUUUGAUGUAGCGGCCUAGUUGCCACUUUCAUAUCUUCGUUCAUAAAUAAAUAAAGUUAAAUAAUUUGUCAAAGGGUGGAGUUAUUUUGAAUUCAUGACAGUAGUUUAGUAAAUUUUAUCUAUGAACUCCUACAAUGCCUAUUCAGCGGUGGCCACCAGCUUUCAAGUGAAGAUUAUUCAAUUAUUAUGCCAACAAUUGAUAAUAUAUAUGACAAUCUCCUGAUAACUUUGGCAUGAGUUAAGAAAGAAAUUGAUCAUCAGUAGUUAUAUGAGAAAAAAAAAAAAAGGAAAAAGUAAAAAAAAGACAACAUUUCUUUAAGUAAAAGUCAGAAAUAACUUUAUCAUUGAGAAUGUGGGGUCGUUUUUUUAACUAAUGAAUUAAUUGACUUAAUUUUAAUCAGUUAAAGUAUUAAGUCCGUUUAUUUUUUCAACUUAAUAAAAAUUUUCAGUUUUAGCUUUUUGCUUAAUCUAAAAAAUCUUAAUAAUAUCGUUAAAAAAAUUCUCCAAAAUAUCCUUAUCUAAUUAAUUAAUUUUUAAUCCUUACGUGAAUUAAAUUUAAUAUUAGCAUUAUUACCCAUCUCUAUAUAGCUUGUGAUAAUAUGUAGUGGUAAACUCUAAUUAUUUUUAUCUUUUUAUUUUCUUCACAUUAUCAUUAUUUAUCUUCAUAAUUUUUUAUGAAUAAUUUUCAUAUAAAAAUAUCAUAAACUAUAAUAAAAUUGAUUCACAUUGAAUAUGAUUUACUGUUAUGACAAUUUAUUAUCUUAUUUAUAUUCCUUGAGAUUUUAUUGUUUGGUAACAUUUAUAGUUUGUAAGGGCAUAAAUGGAAAAAUAUUAGUUUUCAGAAUUUUUAAGCUAAAAAACAAACAACUUAAUAUUUAUUUUUAUCGAUUCAGACAAAAAAAAAAUAUCAUUCAUAUUCAAACAUUUAACUCUAUUCAGAAUUUAAACUAAUUCAGAUCUAUUCAGAUUUCAGACAAAAAAAAAAAACAAACACUACCUGCAUCUAUAACAAAAACAUAAAAAUUUGUAGUACAUCCUAUUACAAAUAUUUAAGCCCAAAUAUUUUACAUAGCACCACAAGUCUAAAGUUCCAAAAUAAGAACACAUUUCCAAUGUUUCAAAAUGAUGUACUUACUUGACAAAACACAAUUCCAAUUUCCAAAAUGAUAGAAGACUAUAUCUCAUGAAUCACGACAAAUUUUUCAAAGGAUUUAUCCCUUUUUUCAGCUCAUUGGCCAAGUUGAAGAACCCACGUAGCACAUCAUGUUUGGUGGCCAUAAUAUCAAUCGCAUCAAAUAUUUCUUUCUCACUUAAGCAAACAAUCUUACGCAUUUUAUCAUACAACUUAACUUGUAAAUCAGAUAACUGUUUAUCAGCAAUAGAAAGUACACUAAUCAACCCAUCUAAUUUGCAUACUAUGGCUGAAAUGGACUCCACCGUUGCUCCUAUUUUUAAGCACGUAUUGUGAAAUGUUUUGUCCUUGGUUCUCCUUUUCGCUUUUGGGUGGUUGGAAUUAUUUGGAGCACUUUCAUUUUCAUUAGCAAGUGCUUGUGAAUUUGAGAAUAUAUAUAUGCGAAUAUAGAUAAUAUUAACAUUCAAAACUAUUAGAUGAGAAAACAAAGAGUGACAAAAGAGUUACAAAGUUAAAUCUAUCGAGCCCAUAACAGAUCAUACAAGUAAAUAAGUAAUUUUCAUUUCUUUAUAAUGGAACCUCUACAAAGUGAGGUGAGAAAAUUUAUUAACUAAAAGAAAGUGAAAAUAGUACAAGAGAGAAGAAAGAGCAAAUGCCAUUAGCUAUGAAAAGACAUAUAGGCAAGAACUAAAGAGUUACAAAGCUAAAGUUAUUGAGGCUGGACAUAAACCGAGCCCAUAACAGGUCUCAUAUAUAAGCAAAAUAGUAAAUAAACUAAGAAGUUAUUACAUUUAAAAUUUAAUAUAAAUAUAAAAUUAUGAUAAUUAUUAGUUAAAUAAACUAAAAAGUUAUUACAUGAAGUUCCCAUUUACCAAGUAUAUCCAGGUUUCUGCUCAAUCAUCUCUAAUUAGAAAACGAAAAUAUUCCACAAUUCUUUAUUUUCGUUAUAAAAAAAAUUCUCGUAUUCUUAGUAUUCCUUCAAAUUAGAGCUAAAAUGACAGAUGAAAGUCAGAGAAUAUAAGGCAAAAGAAGAAGAAAAGGUUGGUCAUAAUGUGUUAAAACGACAAAUAUGCUUUUGAGAACAAAUCUACUCAAAUUCCUAUCUUUUUUUUUUUUGAUACAUUGAUAUAUUAUAAUCAGAACUCUACUGAUAUUUAAAAUCAGAAAUCAGUCGGAAUUCUUUUGAAUAAUCAUGUUGAAGCACAGCCCGAAUACCAACGAUUCGUUUAAGGAAUGUCUGUCCUCACUAUUAAUACUAAAGAGAAAUUGAUUAUAUCCGACAUGAAAAAAUUAUUCAACCCCUAUUAUGCAGGGGAGUCAAGUCCCAACACUCUGCGAGCGCUGGGACUUGAACCCAUAGCCCACUGGCACUCAAAUUCCUAUUUACUCAUACUCCAAUUGAUAGGUGUAAGCAAGUAACUAUGUGACCUCGAUCAUUGCAAUGACUCUUUAACAACCCUAUAAAUAUAUAUUUUUAGUUGGCUCAAGAUUUCAGAACCCUCAAUCAGUGAUGGUUGGCUCAAGAUUUCAGAAGAAUCCUCUCACUUCCAUAUUUACUUCCUUGUUCAAGAAAGAAAAUAAGAGUCCCUGUUCACAAGUGUUAUUUCAUCUUCUUAAUUUCUUAUUUCUAGUAUUUACUUCAUUUUUCUCUAUUCAUUAGGUCUGGAUCCGCGAAAUCAGCACCCGGCCAUGACAUGUGCAUUAUUAAAUUUUAAAAAAGUCGGAUGCAGAUCAGCAUCUGAUAUUUGCCACGUAUUCGGAUCCAUUUUUUAAUUAUUAAAAAAAAAAGAAAAGACAAAAAAAGAAUUUUUUAUUUUGAGACUGAGACAAAAACAGAGUCAGAGGCGUGUACGUUUCAUAACCUUUCCUUUUUUUUUUAAAGAAAAUCCUAAACGCAGCCUGUCGACACAACACACGAAAGCUGCUAGAGCAGAGAAGAUUAACCGCCGUCUGCCGCUGCCGUUCUAAUCAGCCAAGUCGCCACGGCUAGCACAAUGGAAAUUCAUGUACAGAAGUCAACAAUAAUACGGCCUGCCCAAGAAACGCUCAAGCAACGCCUACGAAAUUCUGACUUGGACUUGAUUGCGCCAUCCAAUUACGUCCCCCAGGUAUUCUUUUAUCGACGGCCAAAUUAUUCUUCCCCUAAUUUCUUUGAUGCUGGUUUGCUGAAGGAGUCUCUGAAAAAGAUUCUUGUGCCGUUUCGACCCGUGGCUGGAAGGUUGCCGAGUGAUGAAAGUGGCAGAACCGACAUACUAUGUAACGGAGAGGGGGUUUUGUUUGUGGAGGCGGAAACAAGUUGUGUUAUUGAUGAUUUUGGUGACUUCGCCGAAGGCUCCAAGCUUUUGUCGUUGCUUCCAACUUUUGAUGAGACGAAAGAUAAUUCUUCUUAUCCACUCAUGAUGACACAGGUACGACGAAUAUUUAAUCCCCUGAUCAAUUGAUUCAUGAGACUUGGUUUCAUUAAGUAAUGCUGUGCUGUGUGUGUUGAGUAGGUAACUCGUUUCAAAUGCGGAGGCGUUUGUCUUGCGACUAGAUUUCAUCAUAUUUUAGCAGAUGGAGCUUCAACGUACCAUUUCGUCAACUCAUGGGCUGAGAUGACACGUGGUGUUCUUAUUAGCAUUCCACCUUUCUUUGAUCGAACCGUACUAGAUUUUGGGGUUCCAAAUUCUCCUAGAUUCCAUCACAUUGAAUACGACCCACCUCCUUCAAUGAAUACUCCUACUCAAAAUUCCGAAUCCAUUUGUACCGCAAUCCUGAAUCUGUCACUUGAGCAAAUCAAGAUUCUCAAGGAAAAAUCUAAAGAAAAUCGUGGAUCCACAUUCGAGUACACUAGACUUGAGGUCCUGGCAGCACAUAUUUGGCGAUGCGUAUGUAAAGCACGUGAAUUGUCUGAUGAUCAAGCCAGCAAGUUACACUUUCCUACAAAUGGACGUUCUAAAUUGAAUCCUCCACUCCCAUCCGGGUAUUUCGGAAAUGUAGUCUUCACCACUGCAUUGAUCGCCUUAUCAGGUAAUAUCCUAUCAGAACCCCUGAAUUAUACAGUAGAGCGAAUCCAUAGAGCAUUAGAGCGGAUGAAUGACGAGUAUUUGAAAUCAGCUCUUGCUUAUCUACGUCAACAACCUGAUCCCACAGUUCUAAGAAGAGGAGCUCACACGUAUAAGUGCCCUAAUUUUAAUAUAGUAUAUUUAGCAAACAUGCCUAUUUAUGAUGCAAAUUUCGGGUGGGGGCCGCCAAUGUUUUCAAGGUUGGUUAAUACAUAUUUCGAAGGGGUAGCGCAUAUUUAUCCAAGUCCAAGCAAUGAUGGGAGCUUGACAGUGUUUAUAAACUUGGAAACCCAUCACGUGCAGCCCUUCAAGAAGUUGUUUUAUGAGAUCUUUCAGCACCCCAAGAAUGCAAGAUCUAGAUAUUGAUAUGUCAGUGAUCAAUCAAUGUGAUAAACCAAGUCUGAGAGAAAAUGAUCAAGGGAUCCCUGGUUCGGGUGACUCAACUAGCUGUUGAUGGCUGUAGAUAUUGUGUGUCUUCGGCUCAUUAUGGUUUUGACCUUCCACUUUUGUCAUCCUUGAUAAAAGUUUUUUUCUUUUUUAAUUUCAUAUUUUGUUAGCUCUUUAAUUAGUAAUAUAUUAUUAGUGAUGUACACAGAAUGAGAUUGUUUUCUUCUUUAAUAUAAUAGCUCACUACGCGAUACCAUUACCAAAAGUUCCUAUAACAACUCGAUCUUCCAGCUACCAUACCCUCAAGAACUUUAGAGUAUGUUGGGAAUAGUCAACUAGCCAAACAAAAACGCUAAAGUCCCUUGCAUUAUAAUUCAGAUGUUAUUAAGAGAUUUUUUUUUUUAAAUUUUCAUGACAUCUUUGAUAUAUUUUAGAAUUUCUCCCAUAUGAAAUUUUAAUUUUUUUUUAAAACAAUUGUUAGAUUCGUUGAAUAGGCAUUGUGUUUAACACUUAUUUAAAAAAAAUCCAAAUAUUAUUCUCGGUAAUGAAAAUGUGACACAUUUACAAACCCAACAACUUUGGAAAAUCAAAAUGAAGUAACGAGUAGAUAGAUAAACAGUAUCAAAGCCGAAGGACCAAAGAAGGAACCUAGCCACUUUACAAAAUGAAAAAAUGAAACUACGUGGAGUCGUAUCAUUAAGCCAAAUAUGCGACAUUAUGCAAUGAUAUUUUAGCCCCUCACAUAGUUACACAAUGGGGCGAGGUACACCAUAAACUUUCUCUAUUAGAAACACCAUAAACUUACAAACAGAAAAAAAAAAAAAAAAAAAAAAAGUUGAUGGUGGAAGAGAGUUCACGACAAAAGAGAAAUAGAGAGAGGUAAGCAAAUGGGAGAGAGAAAGAGAUAUAAACUUAUCAAGAGAAAGAGAAGAUAGGUGCAAACAUUUUAGGUAUUUAUUGAAUAAGAAAUUAGGACUAUUUUUAGAAUUAAAAUAGGGGUAUAAGAACAUUUUAAUUUUUAAAUAAUUUUAAUGGGGCAGAAAGAAGAAAAGGAAUUUCAAGAGUUAUUUGGAGGAUGUCAAUAGUCCAACUCAUGGAGGAUGUCAAUAGUCCAACUCAUGUGAUUAAAUAAAUUGGCCCACUUUCAUUAUUUUGUCACCAAUAUCUGAAAAAAAAAAUUUACAGCAAAAUUUAUUGUUCUUAAUUAGAGAUGGCCAAUGGCCAGGCAACAUGCGGCACGGUACGGACACGGUGCAUGUCGAUACAACACGGCAAGACAUGAGCAUAUUUUGGUAGGGCAUGCAGCACAACAUGACACGUAUGCAUGCUGGGCUGAGUUAAAAAUUCUAGGCACGUGAGCCUUAAAAGUACAGGAUGAUUAAAGACAACAAUUGAUAAUAUAUAUGACAAUCUCCUGAUAAAUUUGGUGUGAGUUAAGAAAGAAAUUGAUCAUCACCAGUUACAUGAGGAAAAACCAAAGAAAAAAUAAAAAAGACAACACUUCUUUGAGCAAAAGUCAUAAACAACUUUACCAUUGAGGAUGCAAGACCCUUUUUUUUUAACUUAAUGAAUUAAUUGACUAAUUUUAAUCAGUUAAGUAUUAAGUUUAUUUGUUUUUUCAACUUAAUGAAAAUUUUCAGUUAUUAAGCUAUUUUUUUAGCUUUUUACUUAAUCUAAAAAGUCUGAAUAACAUCGUUAAAAGAUAUUCUCUAAAAUAUCCUUAUCUAAUUAAUUAAUUUUUAAUCCUUACGUGAAUUAAAUUUAAUAAUUAGCAAUAUUAGCCAUCUCUAUAUAACUUGUGAUAAUAUAUAGUGGUAGAUUAUAAUUAUUUUUUUUUUUAUUUUCUUCACAUUAGCAUUAUUUAUCUUCAUAAUUUUCUAUGAAUAUUUUUCAUUUAAAAACAUCAUAAACUAUAAUAAAAUUGUUUAACAUAUAUAACAUAGAAUAUUAAAGAGUUGCAUUCAAUUGAAUAUGAUUUAUGUUAUUAUAUUUUUUGAGAUGUUUAUUAUUUGCUAACAUUUAUAAUUUAUAAGGGCAUAAAUGUAAAAAAUAUUAGUUUUUAGAUUUUUUAAGAUUAAAAAAAUUAAUAUUUAUUUUUAGCGAUUCAGACAAAAAAAGAAACAUAUCAUUCAGCUUCAGACAUUCAGUUCUAUUCACAAUUUUAACUAAUUUAGAUUUAUUCAGAUUUCAGACAAAAAAAAAAAAAAAAACUACAUGCGUCUAUAGCAAAAACAUAAGAGUCUGUAGUUCAUCCUAUUACAAAUAUUUAAGCCCAAAAUAUUUUACAUAGCACCACAAGUCUAAAUUUCCAAAAAAAAAAAAACACACGUUUCCAAUGUUCCAAAAUGGUGUGCUUACUUGACAAAACACAAUUUCAAUUUCCAAAAUGAUAGAAGAUUACAUCUCAUGAAUCACGACCAAUUUUUGAAAGGAUAUAUCCCUUUUUCCAGCUCAUUGGGCAAGUUGAAGAACCCACGUAGCACAUCAUGUUUGGUGGCCAUAAUAUCAAUCGCAUCAAAUAUUUCUUUCUCACUUAAGCCAACAAUCUUACGCAUUUUAUCAUACAACUUAACUUGUAAAUCAGAUAACUACUUAUUAGUAGUAGAAAGUACACUAAUCAACCCAUCUAAUUUGGGUACCAUGGUUGAAAUGGACUCCGUCGUUGCUCCUAUUUUUGAGCACAUAUUGUGAAAUGUUUUGUCCUUGGUUCUCCUUUCCUUUUUUGGGUGGCUGGAAUUACUUGGAGCACUUUCAUUUUUAUUAGCAGGUGCUUGUGAAUUUGAGAAUAUAGAUAUGCGAAUAGAGAUAAUAUUAACAUUCAAAACCAUUAGAUGAGAAAACAAAGAGUUACGAAGCUAAAUCUACCGAGCCCAUAACAAAUCACACAAGUAAACAAGUAAUUUUCAUUUCUUUAUAAUGGAACCUCUACUAAGUGAGGUGGGAAAAUUUAUUAACUAAAAGAAAGUGAAAAUAGUGCAAGAGAGAAGAAAGAGCAAAUGCUAGCCAUAGCUAAACCAUGAAAAGACAUAUAGGCAAGAACUAAAGAGUUACAAAGCUAAAGCUAUCGAGGCUGGACAUAAACGAAGCCCAUCACAAGUCAUGUAUAAGCAAAUAAGUUAAUAAACUAAGAAAUUAUUACAUUUAAAAUUUAAUAUAAAUAUAAAAUUAUGAUCAUUAUUAGUUUUUUUUUUUUAUUAUAUGAGACUAUUGCUCAAACUACAACUGAUAUUAUAUGAGACUAUAACUGAUAUUUACAAAUCAGACUAUUACUGGAAUCGACUUACAUCAAUGCCUACAGAGCUCUGCCCAGAUUUUAAUCAUCACUAAUAUUCGAGGGAUGUCUACCGACUUACAUCAAUGCCUACGGAGCUUUGCCUAGAUUUUAAUCCACAUUAAUAUUCGAAAGAUGUCUACUCCACUUACUCUUGGAUAAGAGAGAAUAUUACCUUCACUCAUUUAUACAAUAUAAUUAAGGAAGGAAAUACCCCCACAUUGCGCAGGGCGAGUGGCAUGAUAAUUAUUAGUUAAAUAAACUAAGAACUUAUUACAUGAAGUUCCCACUUACCAAGUAUAUCCAGGUUUCUGUUCAAUCAUCUCUAAUUAGAAAACGAAAAUAUUCCACAGUUCUUUAUUUUCUUUUGAAAAAGAAAAUCCUCGUUUUCUUGGUAUUCCUUCAAAUUAAAGUUAAAAUGAUAGAUGAGAGGCAGAUAAUGGAAGGCAAAAGACAGAAGAAAAAGGUUGGUCAUAAUGUGUUAAAACGAAAAAUAUGCUUUUGAGAACAAAUCUACUCAAAUCCCUAACUACUCUUACUCCAACUGAUGUGUGUAAGCAAAUAAUGAUGUGACCUCGAUCAUCUCAAUGACUCUGUAACAACCCUAUAAAUAUAUAUUUUUAUCUAUCCUGCUAGUUUGUACAUGGGAUCAGAACCCUCAAUCAAUGGUAGUUGGCUCAAGAUUUUAAAAGAAGCGGGGAGUUCGGAAUCCUCUCACUUCCAUAUUUUUUGUUUUUUUUUUUGGUUUAAACCACCCGAUUUCCGGCAACUGCAUUGGGCCCCGACUAAUCCGGAUUCGGGGUGUAAUCACAGUUAAGGCUCUUUACCCCUCCCAAAUGGUUUGUUUAGUGGGGAUCGAACUCGAGAACUCUUCCCACUUACCCAGCCUGCGUCGCCAACUGAGCCACAACCGUUUGGUCACUUCCAUAUUUACUUGCUUGUUUAAGAAAGAAAAUAAGAAUCCCUGUUCACAAGUAUUAUUUCAUUUUCUUAAUUUUUUAUUUCUGGUACUUACUUCAUUUUUCUCUAUUCAUUAGGUCUGGAUCCACGAAAUCUGCACCCGGUCCUUUUUUGAAGGGUGGGGUUAUAUGCACUCUAAAAUUUACUUUGGACACUCACAUUUUAAUAAUUAUUUAUAUUACUAAAUUAACCUUAAUGUAAUUUACUAUUAAGGACAAUUUUAAUAAAAUAUAGUAUAACAAAUUUUUGUCCAACAUCAUAUUUUAUUUACAAUAAACCACAUCAACUUUAUAACUGAAACAAAAGGAAUUAAAAAUAGAGGUGGAGGAAGAACAACAAAUUGCACCACUCCAACAUAAGAAAACGCAAGUAAAUCAAAGGAUUUUGUUUUAAAUUUGCUCUCCGAUUUGCAUGCUUUUAUGGGUUUGAAAAACAAUUAAAUUGCGGCAAUAAGAGAAGAACAAAUACAGGGGCGGGUGCAGUAUGUGACCAGUGGGGGUUGUAGCCCUCGCUGGCCAAAAAAAAAAUUCUAAGAAUAAAAGAAAAAAUAUUUAAGAUUUCUAAUUAGUCCCCAAUAAAUCUAUUAAAAUUGACCUUAUACAUUUAUAAAUUCACAAAAUUUAAACUUUAACUUUUAAAAUUAUAAAAGCCUACAUUAUAAUUAAAAAUAAUGAUAGGUCAUCACCACAAAUAUUUUUCUAUUCUUGAAAAUGUGUCAAGAACAAUUAUAAAUAUAUUAAUAAAUAUUUUAUAUAUUCAAAGUUUUAGUUUUAAAAUUUUACUAUUAUGUAAUCUAGGCUUCGGUAAAUUAUUUUUUUAGAUCUGCCACUGAACAAAUACAUAUCAAACCAUAUUAUGAACAGAAAAGAAAAGUGAAUAAAAAUGGAAAAAAAAGUUAGAUAUUUUGUUUGUGAUGAUGAAUAUUUCAUUUGGUAUAAAGAAGAAACAAGGUAAUUAAAGAAAUGAGGACAAUAUAAAAUUUAAAAGAGUGUUACAAAUAAAAACUAACAUUUUUGAGAUUAUUAAUUAAGCGCGCGGACUAAACGAAUGUUUAAAGUAGAUUUUAGCGUUCAAAUAGCCCUACUGUUUUUCUAAUGAUAUGUGCAUUAUUAAAUUUAAAAAAAAGUUGGAUGCAGAUCAUCAGCAUCUGAUAUUUGCCACGUAUUCGGAUCCAUUUUUUAAUUAUAAAAAAAAAAAGACAAAAAUAGAAUUUUUUAUUUUGAAACUGAGACAAAAACAGAGUCAGAGGCGUGUAAGUUUCAUAACCUUUCCUUUUUUUUUUUAAAGAAAAUCCUAAACGCAGCCUGCCGACACAACACACGAAAGCUGCUAGAGCAGAGAAGAUUAACCGCCGUCUGCCGCUGCCGUUCUAAUCAGCCAAGUCGCCACGGCUAGCACAAUGGAAAUUCAUGUACAGAAGUCAACAAUGAUACGGCCUGCCCAAGAAACGCCCAAGCAACGCCUACGAAAUUCUGACUUGGACUUGGUUGCGCCGUCCAAUUACAACCCCCUGGUAUUCUUUUAUCGACGGCCAAAUUAUUCUUCCCCUAAUUUCUUUGAUGCUGGUUUGCUG
rnacentral:lncRNA from 1 species